CCAGUCAGUUCUCUCUGUCUUCUGCGAGUGAUUUGGCCAGUGUCCUCGAGUGUCCUGGGCAAAUCACUGCCCAUAUCACUUCUGCCUGUUGCCUCCAGGUUUCUGCUUCAGCUUGAUCUGGGCAGAUCACUGGGCAAAUCACUGACCCAAUCACUUUUCUGUCAAUUUUCUGCACUUUUUCUCCAAUUUUCCAAUUCUUUCCUUUUCUGUAAAAACAAGAUAGAAACCAUAAAUUAGACUAAAAAAUGUGUAAAUAAACAAUAAAAAAAGAUAAUAAAAAUGUGGCUAAUUUAUGCUUGAUCAAAUACCUCCACACCUAGCUUUUUGCUUGUCCUCAAGCAACAAAUAACUUAGCCAAUCAAGUUCCCUUUUUCCUUAGAGCCUAAGUACCACUUAAUCAGCCUCCCCUAGAUUCCUAAACUGAAUCAUCACAGUAUAGAGUACAUGUACUAAGGUCAUCUUCUCCUUUCCUUGUCUCCUUUCCUUGUUUCCUUUCACCUACCAUGGUCAAGAGAAAGGUUUUUGGCUCAAUCAUGCUUAUUCCUUUAUGUUAGUUUUAAUGCAACCCCUAGGAGUGAUUUGCCCAUUUUCUUCUCUUUUUUAUUUUUAUUUUUAGCAGCACUUAUUCUUAUCCUUGCCUGAAAAAGUCACUAACCUUUUUACGCGAUUGUGUACAUGGGUGAUACACCCCCGGUUACUCAGUUAGUCACUUGUUCAAGUGGCUACUAGCUCUGUUCAUAGUCUAGACCAUCGAAACUUAUUUGCUUGAAAAAGUUACUGACCUUUUUACGCGAUUGUGUACAUGGGUGAUACACCCCCGGUUACUCAGUCAGUUACUUCUCCAAGUGGCUAUUAGGCUUAGUUCAUAGUCUUAGACCAUUGGAACAAGUUUGUGAUUUGUGCUUUGUGCUGGUUUUUCAUGAUAUUUUGGGCAAAUCAGCUCUUAGGGAGUUACACUGACUUUGUGUUUGCAUGUAUUUGUAUUUUUAUUUCCCUUGACCUUAGCAAAUUUGAGGAUUCAAUUCAAGAGAAAAACUCCCUAAGUGAAGGUAACAUACUGUGAAUGAUUCAAUUUAAGCUUAAAGGGGUGGCAAAUCAAUGGGGUCAUGAGAUAAGGAAACUCUUUCAGCCUUGUUAUCUAUGUUGAGUAAAGCAAUUAGCUACAAAAUUCUGUGUGUGUGCGCUAGGAGUGUGAAAAAAAAUUCUGGUGUGUGCAAAAAGGGGUAAGAACAAUGCAAAAAGAAACAAAAAGAAAGAACAAGAAGCAAAAAGAUGGUGUAAUCAAUGAAUAAAUACUCUCCAGUACCCCCACACCUAACCCAAAUAUUGUCCUCAAUGUUUGAAUAAAUAUAUAGAAAAAUGAAGGAGAAAAGGGAAAGUGACUUCCUGGCAUGUGAGUGAUUUGACCAGUGACUUGGGCAAGUACUGGGCAAAUCACUGGGCAAAUCGCUAUCUGUCACGGUGCUGGGGCAGAAAAUGGUCCACCAGCAGGUUCAACAAGUGCUCCAUCCUUUGCAUUCGGUCCUCAAUCCUACUGGACGAGCCUCUACUGUCUGGUUGGGGGCUUCGUCUUCAGGUGGCUGAGGAGCAUCCUGCUGGGCGGCUGCUGGAGGUGGCUCAUUUGCUGGUGCCUGCCCUAUUGCUUGUGUUGUCUCAUCUGCAGGGGCUGCUAUAGUGGCUGGCUGCUGGGUGGUGGUGCUUAUGGUGGCUUUCUUCCUUCUGAAAACACGCUCAUGGCGUGGCGUUACUGGACCUGCAGGUGCAAUGGAAAAAACAUCCCCCACCUUGCAAAGCAACCCCAUGUCAUCUAAUGUGCGUAGGUCCAAGGGGGUUGUCUUGGAAGUGGGGGAAAGGUCAGUAUAUGCUGGGUGCAAUAAUUUGAGAUUUACUGCAAUGGCAGUGAUCAAGGGCCCAAAAAUCAGUGGCCUGUUAUACUGAAUGAUGCUAGAUAGUUGGGUGGCAACCCAGUAUCCCAGAUGUAUUUUCCUAUGUGUGUGCAUGCACCAAAGAAUAUAUAACUCAGUUCUGGUCAGGAUGUUGGAGGCAUCCUUCCUCCUAGAAAAUGUGUAAGCCAGGAAUCUGUGGAGGUAUUUCAGGCUGGGGUUUUUGAGGUAAAGGUCUUUGGACCUUGUUGGUGAGUAGGAGUCUGGUGGAUUGUCACUUAAUUCCAAGUACACAGAGCUUGGAUCAAACUCAGCAGGGAAGUCCCAGGUAGACUGAGGGCAUUCACAGCCCAUGGCUAUGCCGAAUUCCUGCAGGGAUAAGCGAAAUCGCUUCCCCAAUAACCUAAAUCCAAUAGUGCCUGGUGUGUGUAUGUUGUGCAUGGCAGGUUUGUCAAAAUAGAAUGUGGUGAAGAACUCAUGUGUGAGUUCAAGGAAGGAGGGCAUGCGCAGGAAGAAAAAGGUGUCCCAGCCAAUAGUAGAGAUGAGAGAACGUACCUAGGAAUGGAGUCUCAGUGCUCCAAGGGUGGCAUGGUGGAUAUACUUACCUGGGUGAUAUGGUAGGGAUGAAACUUUAAGCAGCCUGGUGCGCUCAGAAAUUUUGUUGAAUGUCAGUGAUUUGACGAUGUGAUCUGGGUAUGCUGGCCUGGGCAAAUCGCUGAGCAAAUUGCUGGGCAUAUCACUGAGUGUAUCACUUGGUAAGUCCAUGGGCGCAUCACUGGGCACGGCGCGUGGCACAUUACUGGGCGCAUCAGUGGGCACAUUGCUGGGCACAUCGCUGGCCAUAGCGCUUGGCAAGUCCGCUGGCGUAUUAGUGGGCACAGCGCUGGUGGAAUCAGGGGGCGCAGUGUUCUCUUUGUGUCCUGUGGGAUGCAUGGCUGCCUCUGGCUCUAAUCUCGGUGGCGACUGUGGUCUUGGCCGUUUUUGGCCGUGGCCGGAGGAAGUGGUGGCUUCAGGUAGCAUUUCGCCCGCAAGGUUUGCCUUCGGGGCUAUUGUGGACGGUGGUGGUGGCGUUCUUGGCCGUUUCUUUUGCCGGCGGUAUGUCUGGGCGGCAGGUAAGUCGGUGCGUCCUGUUGCUGGUUCAGUAGCUGGUGACAUUUCGGUGUUGGUGGUGGCUGGUGGAGUGGUGUCCCACGCUUCAUCGUCACUGUCAUAGGGGAUGGAUUUCGGUAGCCCUAGUUUCUUCCACAUGAACGGUCCGCCGGUGGCCUUCAUCUUAAUUCGGACCAUGGUGGUCUUGAGUUUGCCGGUGGGUGAGUAGUGGUCGGAGAGGAGAAAGCUUGAAGAAGAAGAAGAGAUAAAAAAACAGUAGUUUAGCGUAAAAAGUAAAAGAAUAAGAAAAGAACUACUUAAAGUGAUUUGGGUAUGUGAAUCUGCCCUGAUCAUUUAAUGCUGGCCCUCUGGAUUCUUGACAGGGUGAUUUGACCAGUGAUUUGGGCAUAUCACUUGGCCAGAUCACUCCUCCUUUGCAAUUGUUGGGCUGGUACUGUUCACGCCCUUUUCUGAUGAUGUGCUUGAUUUUGCGAUUGGACCGGUGAUCUUGGUCAAAUUAUCUGGGCAAUUGGGCAAAUCACUGCCCCGAUCACUUGUGACUAUGGUACAUUCAGUCGAUUUGCCCAGCGAUUUGGGCAAGCAGUGGGCAAAUCACUGGGCAAAUCACUACAUCUGGGCUGCCUCCCAGUAGCGCCCUGUUUUCUGUCUUGGGCUGGACUUCAGUGUCUUGCUCAGCAGUCUUGGGAAGGGGGAUCUAAGGGAACCUCCUCCACAACAUGGACAGUAAAACCUUCAUAGAAUCUCUUCAAACAAUGCCCAUUAACUUUGAAAACUUUGCUUGUUUGUGGGCUCCUAAUGUCAACAGCUCCAUGUGGAUAGAUAUGUUCAACCAAGAAUGGUCCAAUCCACCUAGACCGAAGUUUCCCAGGGAAUAAUUUGAACCUGGAAUCAAAAAGCAAGACUUUAUCACCAACCUGGAAGUGUUUUCUGGAGAUAUUCUUAUCAUGGAAGGCUUUAGUCUUUGCUUUGUAAUCCCAUGAAGCUUCAUAGGCAUCACGCCUAAUCUCCUCAAGCUCUUGAAUCUGUAAUUUUCUGUUAACUCCAGCUUCUUUUUCAUCAAGAUUACAGCUCUUCAUAGCCCAAUAGGCUUUGUGUUCAAGUUCCAUAGGAAGAUGGCAUGCUUUUCCAUAAAUCAGCCUAUAUGGAGACAUCCCAAUUGGAGUUUUGUAUGCUGUUCUAUAUGCCCAUAAGGCAUCAUUUAGGCGCACACUCCAAUCCUUGCGAUUUGGGCAGGCUGUUUUCUCUAAGAUUGACUUGAUCUCCCUAUUUGACACUUCAGCCAGCCCAUUUGUUUGAGGGUGAUAGGCAGUAGAGGUUCUAUGGAUGACAUGGUGCUUCUUGAGGAGAGUUUCUACUACCUUGUUGCAAAAAUGGGUGCCUCGGUCACUGAUUAUGGCCUUGGGCAGUCCAAAUCUUGAGAAAAUGUGGGACUUUACAAAAUCACCCACUGUUUUUGCAUCAUCAGCUCUUGUUGCUUUGGCCUCAAUCCACUUGGACACAUAAUCCACAGCAAGUAGUAUGUAGGUGUUGCCAAAGGAAGGUGGGAAUGGUCCCAUGAAGUCAAUGCCCCAUAUGUCAAAGAUUUCACACACCAUAAUGGGUGCUUGUGGCAUUUCACUUCUUUUGCCAAGGUUUCCUGUUUGUUGGCAUCUUGCACAUGACCUACAAAAUAAAUAAGCAUCUCUAAAUAUGUUAGGCCAAAAUAAUCCACUGUCAAGGACUUUCAAGGCUGUCUUGCGUGGCCCAAAGUGACCUCCACAGCUGUAAGAGUGGCAGAAGGUUAGGACAGAUGUGAUCUCAUGGUUUGGGAUGCAUCUCCUUAUGACUUAGUCUGCACAAUGCUUCCAUAGGUAAGGCUCAUCCCACACAUAAUACAUUGCCUCUUUCUUGAUCUUGUCUCUUAUGUGUUUGCGCAAAUCAGUGGGCAAAUCACCUAUGGCAAGGAAAUUAACAAUAUCAGCAUACCAUGGUUCCUCUUCUUGGGCAGAAAAGAGGUGCUCAUCAGGGAAGGUCUCAUUGAUGGGGCAUGUCUCUAUCUCGGUCAGAAUUCUGCUGAGGUGAUCAGCCACAAGGUUCUCCUUGCCUUUCUUGUCGCGGAUCUCCAAGUCAAACUCUUGUAACAGCAAUAUCCAUCUCACCAGCCUAGGUUUGGACUCCUUUUUCUUGAUUAAAUACCUUAGCGCAGCAUGAUCUGAGUAUAUAAUCACCUUUGUACUAAGUAGGUAGGGUCUAAACUUCUCCAAUGCAAACACAACAGCUAGCAACUCUUUUUCCGUGGUGGAAUAAUUGCAUUGUGCAGCAUCUAGGGUGCGUGAGGCAUAGUGAAUGACAUGAGGAGAGUUACCUAUACGCUGUCCCAAUACUGCACCUAUAGCAAAGUUGCUGGCAUCACACAUGAUCUCAAAUGGAAGGGUCCAAUCAGGUGGCUGGAUGACUGGGGCAGAAAUCAGCAGUGAUUUGAUCAAAUCAAAUGCUGUUUUACAGCUGUCAUCAAAGUUAAAUGGCACAUCCUGCUGUAACAACCUGCACAAAGGCUGAGUUAUUUUGGAAAAAUCCUUGAUGAAUCUCCUGUAAAAACCAGCAUGUCCAAGGAAUGAUCUAAUCUCCCUAAUGCUGGUUGGAUAGGGCAGAUUUUUGAUGGUGUCAACUUUGGCUUUGUCUACCUCAAUCCCUUUUGCUGAAACAAUAUGGCCCAAGAUUAAGCCAUGGCUGACCAUGAAGUGGCACUUCUCAUAAUUGAGAACCAACUUUGUCUCCAAACACCUUUGAAGUAUCUUCUCCAAGUUGGCUAGGCAUUCAUGGAAUGAGUUGCCAUACACCGUAAAGUCAUCCAUGAAGACUUCAAUAAUCCUCUCCACAUAGUCAGAAAAAAUGCUCAUCAUGCACCUUUGGAAAGUGGCUGGUGCAUUACAAAGACCGAAGGGCAUCCUCCUAAAUGCGAAUGUGCCAAAUGGGCAUGUGAAAGUGGUCUUCUCUUGGUCUUCUGGUGCAAUGGGGAUUUGAUAAAAUCCAGAAUAUCCAUCAAGGAGGCAGUAAUGGCUUUUUCCAGCAAGUCUCUCAAGCAUUUGGUCCAUGAAGGGCAAGGGAAAAUGGUCCUUCCUUGUGGCUGUGUUGAGCUUCCUGUAGUCCAUGCAAACUCUCCACCCAUUUUGCACACGAGUGGGUACUAGCUCUCCUUCAGAAUUAGGGACAAUGGNNNNNNNNNNNNNNNNNNNNNNNNNNNNNNNNNNNNNNNNNNNNNNNNNNNNNNNNNNNNNNNNNNNNNNNNNNNNNNNNNNNNNNNNNNNNNNNNNNNNNNNNNNNNNNNNNNNNNNNNNNNNNNNNNNNNNNNNNNNNNNNNNNNNNNNNNNNNNNNNNNNNNNNNNNNNNNNNNNNNNNNNNNNNNNNNNNNNNNNNNNNNNNNNNNNNNNNNNNNNNNNNNNNNNNNNNNNNNNNNNNNNNNNNNNNNNNNNNNNNNNNNNNNNNNNNNNNNNNNNNNNNNNNNNNNNNNNNNNNNNNNNNNNNNNNNNNNNNNNNNNNNNNNNNNNNNNNNNNNNNNNNNNNNNNNNNNNNNNNNNNNNNNNNNNNNNNNNNNNNNNNNNNNNNNNNNNNNNNNNNNNNNNNNNNNNNNNNNNNNNNNNNNNNNNNNNNNNNNNNNNNNNNNNNNNNNNNNNNNNNNNNNNNNNNNNNNNNNNNNNNNNNNNNNNNNNNNNNNNNNNNNNNNNNNNNNNNNNNNNNNNNNNNNNNNNNNNNNNNNNNNNNNNNNNNNNNNNNNNNNNNNNNNNNNNNNNNNNNNNNNNNNNNNNNNNNNNNNNNNNNNNNNNNNNNNNNNNNNNNNNNNNNNNNNNNNNNNNNNNNNNNNNNNNNNNNNNNNNNNNNNNNNNNNNNNNNNNNNNNNNNNNNNNNNNNNNNNNNNNNNNNNNNNNNNNNNNNNNNNNNNNNNNNNNNNNNNNNNNNNNNNNNNNNNNNNNNNNNNNNNNNNNNNNNNNNNNNNNNNNNNNNNNNNNNNNNNNNNNNNNNNNNNNNNNNNNNNNNNNNNNNNNNNNNNNNNNNNNNNNNNNNNNNNNNNNNNNNNNNNNNNNNNNNNNNNNNNNNNNNNNNNNNNNNNNNNNNNNNNNNNNNNNNNNNNNNNNNNNNNNNNNNNNNNNNNNNNNNNNNNNNNNNNNNNNNNNNNNNNNNNNNNNNNNNNNNNNNNNNNNNNNNNNNNNNNNNNNNNNNNNNNNNNNNNNNNNNNNNNNNNNNNNNNNNNNNNNNNNNNNNNNNNNNNNNNNNNNNNNNNNNNNNNNNNNNNNNNNNNNNNNNNNNNNNNNNNNNNNNNNNNNNNNNNNNNNNNNNNNNNNNNNNNNNNNNNNNNNNNNNNNNNNNNNNNNNNNNNNNNNNNNNNNNNNNNNNNNNNNNNNNNNNNNNNNNNNNNNNNNNNNNNNNNNNNNNNNNNNNNNNNNNNNNNNNNNNNNNNNNNNNNNNNNNNNNNNNNNNNNNNNNNNNNNNNNNNNNNNNNNNNNNNNNNNNNNNNNNNNNNNNNNNNNNNNNNNNNNNNNNNNNNNNNNNNNNNNNNNNNNNNNNNNNNNNNNNNNNNNNNNNNNNNNNNNNNNNNNNNNNNNNNNNNNNNNNNNNNNNNNNNNNNNNNNNNNNNNNNNNNNNNNNNNNNNNNNNNNNNNNNNNNNNNNNNNNNNNNNNNNNNNNNNNNNNNNNNNNNNNNNNNNNNNNNNNNNNNNNNNNNNNNNNNNNNNNNNNNNNNNNNNNNNNNNNNNNNNNNNNNNNNNNNNNNNNNNNNNNNNNNNNNNNNNNNNNNNNNNNNNNNNNNNNNNNNNNNNNNNNNNNNNNNNNNNNNNNNNNNAUUGGGCAAAUCACUGCCCUGAUCACUUUCUGGCAGAAUUUCUUCCAUGCCCUGUUUUUGCAAUUUUUCAGCCCUAUUGUCUUGCAACUCUUUUCCACUCCUCAAUGUGAUGGCACUAACAUUUUGUCUUGGAUUUAUCUCAAUUUGGGAGGGUAGCUUCCCUUGAGACUCAUAUUUGCUCAUUGCAGUGGCCAUUUGGCUCACUUGUUUCUCAAGAUUUUGCACGGUACUUGCUAAAUUCUUCACAAUCUCCUCAAGAGGUGCAUUGGAGUUCUGAGGUGCAGCUUGAGCUUGAUUGUUUUGCUGGUAGUUUGGAUAUUGAUUUCCCCUUGCAUAACUAAAAUUUGGAUGGUCCCUCCAACCUGGAUUAUAAGUAUUUGCAUAGGGAUCAUACCUUCUUUGCCCAUUGAAGCCUCCAACAGCAUUGACUUGCUGGUCCUCCUCUUGAAGGGAAGGACAUAGAUCAGUUGGGUGGUUGUUGGCACAUAUUCCACAUGUCUUGGGCUGCUGAAUCUGCUGGACUUGUUGGGUUUGACUCACAACAAGGCUACGACAGCAUUGGUGAGUUCAGAAAGUUGGGAUGAUAAAAUGGAAUUACUCACCUCAUUUACCCUUCUUGGUGGCUGCUCUUGAUCUCCAAAUUGCUGAGAAGCUGUAGCCAUGGUGGAAAUUAAGUCCCUCAUCUCUCGAGGUGAUUUUCUUUCAAUUGACCCUCCACAUGCUGCGUUAAUAAAUUUUCUCUUUGAGGGUAGCAAACCUCCAUAGAAGUACUCAAUGAGAGAUUGGUCAGAAAUAUCAUGUUGAGGGCAGCUUGUGCACAACUUUUUGAACCUCUCCCAGUACUCAUACAAGCCUUCAGAGUGCUUUUGGUUUAUGCCACUUAUUUCUCGGCGGAUGCCUAUGGCUUUUGAGGUUGGAAAGAAUUUUCUCAAGAAUGCUCUUACCAUAUCAGCCCAUGAUGUGAUGGAUCCGGGUGGCAAGUAGAAUAGCCAUUCUUUGGCAUAGUCUUCAAGGGAAAAAGGGAAGGCUCUAAGCUUGAUAUCAUCUUCUGGAAUGCCUUGGGGUCUCAUGGUUGAGCACACAACAUGGAAUGCCUUCAAAUGCUUGUGAGGAUCUUCAUUUUCUAGGCCUCUGAAUUUAGGAAGGAGAUGAAUCAGACCUGUCUUUAGCUCGAAUGGUGCUGUCAAUAGGGGAUAUUCAAUGCAAAAGGGUGCUUGAUCUCCUGCUGGUUCAGCUAACUCUCCGAGAGUUCUUUCUCGUGGCUGAGGUGCUUGAAUGGGCACGUUUCCAGCUUGAAUUUCAGCUUCUACAUGUGCAGCAGGUGGUGCUGCCAUUGCUGGAUCUUCUGCCAUAACCUGGAAUCGGGUAUCAGGUUCAAAUGCAGUAGUGGCUGUAGGAGAGUCUGCUGGUGCAAAAAUUUCUGUAGCAGGGGCAGAUGUGACAGCAAGUGCUUCAGCUGGUGCAGAAAUAGGUGAAUUUGCUGGUGCAGAAAAAUCAGCAGGUACAACAACAGCUCUGUGGGAUGGUGUUGCUGAUGAAGAUGCUUUUGAGGCUUGGUUCCUCAAAUUUGCUUGCUUCCUUAAGCUCUUGGCAGUUUUUUCAAUCUCCGGAUCGUAAAGAAGAGUGUCUUUACGGCCAGACCUGGUCAUAAAGGGAAAAUACGUUAGUUUAAAUCAAUUCCCCGGCAACGGCGCCAAUUUUUGAUAAGCGGUUAUCGAAGCCGUAAAAAAUAAACCUAUUAAACAAUCAACAAUAAACUUGUAGAUAAUGGCAAUAGGGUCGAACCACAGGAAAUUGACACUAAAGAUCUUCCUAAUAAUAACCAAGAUGAGUAAAUAACAAAUAAUUAAAAGAGGGGGGUUUGAGUUGAUAGAUUAACACUAAAUAGCAAAAGAAAGCAAUAAUUUAAAGAUGAGUAAAUCAAUGGAUGAAAAGCUUCUAGUUGAAGUAUGGAUCUAUUUCAGAUUGUUUAGAAUUGAUCAUUGAUUCUUUAAUACUCCUAUUUAUCUCAAUAAAUUGGUUUAGGAUGUGGAAGACGCUUCUCACAAUCCAAAUUCCUCCUUAGUUCUAGUUUGAUUAGGAAACGUUCGCUAAUCAAACACUAAUCAACAAGUUGCCAAGGAACGUCCUUGGGGCAUUAUAGCAUCGAACAACUGUUGACUGCAUUAAGACUUAGAGAAACCCAAUUCUAUCCUUGCCAACCGCGUGGUCAAGUUUAGAUUAUGCAAUUUGAUUAAAUGUGUAUUUGAACAACCUAAGCAAUUACGGACCUAAAUUAUUCAAACAAUAUUACUUAAGCAAUUUAAAAGCAAUGGGCCCUUAUUGAUUCUAAAAGCAAAAUAAUAAUUAUGGAAAGAUUAAAUUGCAUAAAUAUUGAAAGUAAAUAAGAGUUUAACAAUGGAGAUUUAAAUCUCCCAAUUCAUCACAAAAUCUGAAAUUCACCAACUUCAACUAGAAAAGAAAAGAGUUUAGCCACUCAUGGUGGACUAAAUACACAGAAAGAUGAAAGGAAAAGAAAAAGGAAGAUGCUGGAGAGUUUCUGGCGAGUUCAAUUCCUCAGCAGAAGAUGCCUUUGCUGGUUUGGAGGUUGCCCUUUUAUAGUUGAAGAGUUCCAUCCUUCUAGGGUUUUGAAUCCCUUUUUAAUUUGGCUUGUGACUCCUCUUUUGAUGUUGAAUUUAAUUGCAACUGGAAUUCCUUAGGUGAGAAACUCUUUCGUGGCUCUUGGAAUUGUUUUGGUAGUGAUUGAGUUGGAUUUGGACUUCUGAAAACUUGAAAUUCGGUUUCCUGAACAAUUUCCCGCUCUGCUGUAUUUUCUGCUGUCGAAGUGAUUUGCCCGGCGAUUUGACCAGUUUCUUCAAGGGAUUGGGCAAAUCACAGACCUGAUCACGUUUCUGCCAGUCAGUUCUCUCUGUCUUCUGCGAGUGAUUUGGCCAGUGUCCUCGAGUGUCCUGGGCAAAUCACUGCCCAUAUCACUUCUGCCUGUUGCCUCAAGGUUUCUGCUUCAGCUUGAUUUGGGCAGAUCACUGGGCAAAUUACUGACCCAAUCACUUUUCUGUCAAUUUUCUGCACUUUUUCUCCAAUUUUCCAAUUCUUUCCUUUUCUGUAAAAACAAGAUAGAAAUCAUAAAUUAGACUAAAAAAUGUGUAAAUAAACAAUCAAAAAAGAUAAUAAAAAUGUGGCUAAUUUAUGCUUGAUCAUGUUCUGAUUUUUACGUAUGGGGAUUGAUUCUUUGUUGGUUUUGCAUCAUAAAUAUAUAUGACAUUUAAAAUGCUUUUAUUUUUCAAUGCUGCUGAAACAAGAUUCAUGAAGGAAACCUUUCGCAUGGUAUCAUGGGAUAGUGGAUCAAUUUUAAAUGAAUGGUUUCUGAUGCACAUCCUAUGUGACUUUACCUAGCUUGAGAGUACCUGAGAGAGAUAAUCAUAUUGGUUUUGUCACCCGAAAGACGAUAUUUAAUUUCCUUGGGGUAUAGAAUGGGGCAUAUACACACUUGCUGGUGAGGGAGAUGCGUGGGAAUUCAGGAUGAGACAAAUAUCCCCAAAAUGCAUAUAAGCAGCAAAUGGUUAUUGGCUUAUUGCAGUUUAUGGUUGCAUGGCUUCAUAUAAUCAUAAGCUCAGAAGAAUCCAAUGUAAGACUGUUCCUUGAUCUGCUGGAAAACAGAUAUAGAUAUGCAGAAUUGAUGGGUUUGACAUUAUUCUGUUCCUUCGCCCAAGCUGAUAGGUUUGCACUAGAAAUGACAACUAAACAGGGAGACCUCGUGAAUUUUGGUGGGGACUUGCAUGAGUCAUUGAGUAUGGUAGAUUAAGAUUGCUUUGUUUUUUCACACUUCAUAUCCUGUUAAACUGCAGGAUUCUUGUGAUCAACCAAGUUAAUUAUGGUUUAAAUAUCCUUCCAAGGGAUUUAAAAAGGAUUUUGGUGAGUAUUGUAUUAGGAAGCUACAGUUCAGGUUUGCACAUGGGAGACAGACUGGAUGAUAACGGCGGGCAUCUCAUUGGUAUUUUCGCAAAUUUAAUAUUUUUUUGUUAAGUUUUUUAUGUUAUUGGAAUUUAAUAAAAUACAUUAUUUAUAAAACAGGCUAAUUAUUUUUCUAUAAGAUAUAAUUUAUAAUUUUUUAUAAUUACUCUCUUCAUUAGUUAUUUUCAUAUGGAUAUGGAUUAAGAAAAUAUAUUUAGUAUAGCUAAAGUGAAAAAAAAUUUAAGAACAUAUUUUAUUCUAUUAUUAAAUUAUUUUGAAAUUAAUAGAUUUUGCAUUUUUGAACUUAUAUUAAAUAGAGGUUUAUUAGCAAGUUAUUGAAUUCAAGAAGAAUAUUGAAUUCCAGAUUUUCGAGUUUUGAUUGAGUUUCACGUCUUCCCAUUUUUAGAUUAAACUAGGCUGGCUCUGGGUUUGGUUUUCGGAUUUUCAAUUGAUCAUCCUGUCCGGAUUUUACAACUAUGGCUGACAGAGCAGCUACUGGACCCAUACGAUAUACGUCAUGGGAAAUUCUGUUCUGCCCGUGACCGACCGCAGCUUGUGCACUGGCCCAUGUUCCGACAAAAUUCUUUUUUGUUUUUAGCAUUUUUCAGAUCUUUGCCUUCUGGAUAGAUAAGUUCACGAGCUGCUCUUGCCUCUCUUGGCCUUGGUCCACUGAUUCCCCCAUUGUGAUGUAAAAUACUCUCUACUUGAGAACUUCCAUGAAAUAAUUCAAGAAAAUAGUGAAUUUACGGUCAUUACCUUAUUCCAUUGUUCUAUUUUUUGGAUAUAUCAGUAAGGUAAAAAUCCGAAGCUAGAUAUUUAACAAGAUAAUUACGGUCUUUCUGAGCAUUAUAGCUUGGAAGUCUAGGAUGACGAAACUGAAUUUGUUUUGCUGGAGAAUUUGCUCAUGUCUAUCCAUUUACAGUUCAUGGAAGACUUCAGAGUUCAUAAUUCGACGAAGAAAUUUGAGUUCCCUUUUCCCCAAAAAAGCAUAAUCCCUGGUAAUUUAGUUGCACUUUAUUUCCAACUUGGAUUUCUUUAUUAUAAUCUCCGCACAAAGAAUUAAUUUGCGGCCUAUUAUAAGCAUUCUUUUUCUCGUUCGUGGACCCUGGUAAUGUUCCUUCUUUUGUGAUAAUGGAUGUCAUCAUGUGAUUAUAAAGAUCCUCCUAUCUGGCCUGAUCUGCCAUCUUAUAUUAAUAAUUACGAGGGUAUUUGAGUAAUUUCAGACCCUUCAACUCGAUAAAUAGAUGUGUGUUUUACUUGACUUCCCAUGCAUGCACACACUAAAGUCCAAGCCAUGGACUCAACUAUCAUUGCCAAACUCCUCUUGUUUGCUCUUCUAAUCUCAAGCACAAAGGCUCUUGACCCUUGUGCCUCUCAAGCAGAUGGCUCAGAUCUCUCAAUCUUCCCCAUCUAUAGCAAAUGUUCACCUUUCAACCCACCAAAACAGGACUCAUUGCUUAAUACAGUCAUUAACAUGGCCUCCAAAGACCCACAAAGGCUCAAGUAUUUGUCAAGCCUAGCUGCCCAAAUGACCACUUCUGUCCCAAUUGCUCCAGGCCAGCAGGUCCUGAACAUUGCCAACUAUGUGGUCCGGGUCAAAUUGGGUACUCCUGGUCAGUUGAUGUUUAUGGUCUUAGACACCAGCAAUGAUGCUGCUUGGGUUCCCUGUUCCGGUUGCACCGGCUGCUCCAGUACCACUUUCAUUACCAAUACCUCUUCCACUUACGGCUCAUUGGAUUGCUCCAUGGCCCAAUGCAUCCAAGCCAGUGGAUUCUCCUGCCCGGCCACGGGCACCUCCUACUGCGUUUUUAACCAAUCUUACGGUGGAGAUUCCUCUUUCUCAGCUUCUCUUGUGCAAGAUUCUUUAGGAUUAGCCAAUGAUGUGAUACCAAAUUUUGCUUUUGGUUGUAUUAACUCCAUCUCUGGUAGGUCAAUUCCCCCUCAAGGGCUGUUGGGUUUGGGUCGUGGACCCUUAUCGUUGCUUUCUCAAUCUGGAUCACUCUAUUCGGGUGUAUUCUCAUACUGUUUACCCAGUUUCAAAUCCUACUACUUCUCAGGCUCGCUCAAACUCGGCCCGGCGGGUCAACCCAAAAGCAUUAGAACCACCCCUUUACUACGAAACCCACACCGGCCAUCACUAUACUAUGUGAACCUCACCGGAGUUAGUGUAGGCCGUGUUUGGGUACCAAUUGCCCCAGAGCUCCUAACCUUUGACCCCAACACUGGAGCAGGGACCAUAAUUGACUCAGGCACUGUGAUAAGUCGAUUUGUUGAACCGAUUUAUACAGCAAUUAGAGAUGAGUUCAGAAAACAAGUAGGAGGGUCAUUUUCAUCUCUGGGUGCAUUUGAUACGUGCUUUGCAGUAACAAAUGAAGCAGUAGCACCAGCAAUAACGCUGCAUUUCACAGGGCUGAAUUUGGUGCUGCCGAUGGAGAACAGCUUGAUUCACAGCAGUGCAGGGUCACUGGCGUGCUUAGCUAUGGCUGCAGCUCCAAAUAAUGUGAACUCGGUGCUCAAUGUUAUAGCCAAUUUGCAGCAGCAGAACCUUAGGAUCAUGUUUGACGUGGCCAAUUCUCGCUUGGGAAUCGCCCGUGAGCUGUGCAACUAGAUUUUUUCUCUCUUGAUUUGUAACUUUAUUUGUGCUUACCAAAUUAUAUGUUUCCAUGUAAUAUAGGUCAAGUGUGGAUUUAAUAAACAGGAAAAUUCCUGUUGUUGUUAUGUUGUCUUGUUAGGAAGAGUUUUUUGAUUUUUUUCUCAAAAAAAUGAAUUUCUUGUAUGUAUAAUCAUAGUGGCUUGGGUUUGGCUAGGAGCAGCACUUUUGCAAUCCACGUUGGUGUUAUCUUCAGUAGACAAAACUUUAAACUUGCAUAUUUUUCUUUUUUAGUUUUUCAAUUUUUGCCUUCUAUCAAUUUUUUAUAGGCAAUUUUUAAGUUAGUCCUUAAAUUUUAUCAUUAAUAAUGAAAUAGUCCCUUAUUUUAGGAAACCAAACAAUUUAGUCAAUCUGUUAUGGUUCUCUUAAAAUUAGAGUUCUCUCUAUCUAAUGAACCAUUAGUCUAACUAAUUAUAAUGAUCUAAAGGGGAAAGGAAAAAAAAUAAUUUCCCAUUUUCUCUUAGUUAUCUCCCUCCCCUCUCUCUCUCCCCAUAUAAUUUCCCACAGACUCCAUUACUUAUCUCCACCUCUUCCAUGGCCCUUUAGUCAGCUUCACUUCUUACACGCCCCUCUUCUCUCUGCGUUGUAGCCCAAUUGUAGGUUGUUGUCACUGCAAAAACUUCACCGGCGUCUACUGUAGCUCGAUAAUAAACAAAUACAGUUUUUACAUCACCAAGUUCAAUCCCAAUGGAUCACAAGCGUUCAUCAAUGGAGUUGGUUUAUGAGCUAAGGACUCCAGUAUAUCUCAAUGGAGAAGAAAAGGGAAGAGAGGUCGAGAUUUGGAAAAAAGAGUAAGGUUUGUUUAGGGAUUAGAGGUAUUUAGUUUAGUUAUUGAAUGCAGUUUAGAACUAAUGGACAAGCUGAUAGCAACUUAUAUAAGCACAUCAACUGUUUUUCGGAUCACUUUACGAUUAUAAUUGGUAAUUGUUUUAAAUUUAUUUUUUAUUUACACCAUAAUAUUUUUUAAAAUUUAUUAAUUAUAACUUUUUAAAUUAAUUUUUUUUAUAUUAAUAAAUUAUUUAUUAAUAUUAACAUAUUUUAAAAUUAUUAAAAUUAACAGAUGGGACAAAAAGAAUAAAGGGUGGGAUUUAGAUUUUAUUAAUUUAUAAGCCCAGAAGAGUGAGCUAUUGUAGAUCCAAAAAAUGGGCCACUUUCUAAGGCGAAGGCGUGUUAUGCUCUGUCUUUUACAAAGCAGAAAUGAAGAUUCAUUUAGUUAAAGAAAAAUAAUAUUACAGGAUUUAUAGAGCUGAAAACGGGGGUCAAGACUAAAAUAAUAAUAAAAAAUAACUGUUGUUAAAACUGUUUUUUAAUCCAAAAAAACAAAAAACAAAUAUCAUUGGAUUAAAAAAGGUACAUGCUUAUGUCAAUAGGCCCUUGAAUAAGCCUGACAAAUGGAUGAAACCCCAGGAAACAAACAAGCCCAAGCCCAUAUACAUUAUACUCCAGUUUACUAACCCAAGAAAUGCAACAACCAAUAGCACGGCGCGAUUAACACUGUUAUGAAUAGUAUAAGGUUUUCUAAUGUAUAAUUUUAUAAGGUAAAAUUUUUUUUAUCAUUUUACAAGGUAAAUCUUAAUAAUUUUGUAUCGUUUGAAAAGACCAAAAAAUUUUUAAGCUAUUUAAUGGUUUUUAAGAAAAAACUAAUUUGAUGAAUUGAAAUUACAAGGAAAGAAGAGCUGCUGCUGCUGAAAAGCCAAAUGGCAACAACACGAACAUAAUUAUUUGUGUCUAAUAAUAAAAGUCUACUGUUUCUGGUUUAUGGCCUUUAGAAAUUAAAAAAAAAAAGAGCGCUUACGAGAGAAGAGUGAAUGUGAUCCAUUGAAGAGAUGGACAAAAAAAUUGGUGGGAAUUUAAACGAAAGUGUCCAAGUCCAACGACCAAUGCAAUGCACCUUCCAAUUUCAAUGUAUAAUAGCAUUGCACCCUCAGGUUGCUUCCUGGCUUCGCUUCAGCCUUCCCCAUAUAUGCUUGGAAUCCAAUUAUUGAUGUGAUGCUUCUCCACCACCACCGAGUCAUACGCCACGUAUUGAUUUUUUUUUCUUAUUUUAAUUAUUUGGUGCAUAUUUGAUGGGCAUGAAUAAAGGGGAAAACUUUGUAAUUAAAUAAAAUAAAUAAAUUCGAAAAAUAAAAUUAAAAGUCAAAGUAAGAGGACAUUCUAGCUCACUUGUUUAUUUUGUAUUCCCUGAAUCCUCCAAAAGUAACUUUGUCUUAAAUUAUAAUUUUGUAUUUUAAAAUAAUUAAAUAAUAUUUUAAAGAAGUAAUAUGAGAGAAGAAAUAAUAAACAAAAUUUCAUUGUCUAGUUACAUUAAUCACAUUUUUUAUAUUAUAUACAAAAUAAAAAUUAAUUUGUCUUUAUAAAACAGUAAAAAUAUUUUUAAAACUUAGUAAUUAAUAGGUCCUUGUUAGCAAUUAGUUGCAUUCCAGGCCUAGCAACCUUCAUCUCUCCAAUGAGAUACAAGCAAGCAAGUUCCUUAAACCCAUUUUACGAUUUUAUUUAAUUUUACUUAUUUAUUUAUUGUUUGUGUGGUGAGCGACCAUAUCUUUUCUAAAAUAUUACUCGUGUUCUAUUUGUAAUUUUACCUCUACAAUUUUUGGAGCUUUUCUUUCUAUAAAGUUCAUUUAUAAUUUCAAAUUUCUUAUGCAAUAAAUUUCUGCAAAUUUUAAAAUUUUACAAUAUUAAUAGUUUAAACAAAUUUAAUAAAACUUGUUACAUGAAUUUUAAAUUGUUUAAAGUACUAUGAGACCAUAAUUGAAGAAGGUGAUAAGAAGGCCAACGAAAAAGUGAGUUAGGAUUUCUGCUUUCUGUUUGGGUCAAUGGAGUAAGUUCGACUAAGGAGAGUUCAUCUGAGAGAGUAGGUUUUUCUCUGUCCAGAAAGUUUAUUUUGAUUUGGUUUGAUUUGCUCUCUUUAUUGGUGAUUUCCUCUCUGACAUGGUGGAUUGUGGUUUACAGAUUUAUAUAUAUAUUUUUUUCAGAUUUAUGCUUUAACGUAGAGUGGUCUCAUUAAUAUAGAACCACCGCCUCUUUGGUGCAGUUUGGGCCAUCAAAGAUUAUCUUUUUCUCGCUUGGGAGCUUCUAUCAUGGUUGAUGACAGUAAAUAUGGUUUGGUCUCCAUUUAUCAGAAUGUGAUAUAUCCGUGGCUAAGGUAAAAUUGAGAGGUUGUGUUUGCCUCAUCACUUACAAGGAUGGCAUUUGAUUCUUUUAUGUGGCUCAGUUUUCUCAGUAGCAGCAGUUGUGGCGAUAAUUUCUAUAGUUCUCCCGUGUGCCGUUUGUUGCAUGUUCUGGGAGAUGCUCCUCAAUUCUUAAGGUUGGUUCAAUUGGAUCUUGCCCUAUUUUACUGAGUUGAGUGACCUUUCUUCAGUCUUGUAUUGUAAUAUUGUUCAUGGAAUCUUGUUUAAUGCAAUUUCAUGAUAAAAAAUAAAACUAUUAACAUUUGUAUAAAAAAUACGUCUCCUACAUAUACAUUUUAAUUUUUUAAGUAUUUAUGCGUUUCAAAUUUUAAUUUUCACUCUAAUAAAUCUUAUUUUUAUGACUAAAUUAAAGCAAUAAUUUUUAAAAAAUAAUAACGAAGUUAACAGUAUCUAUAUUUUAAGUGAAUAUAUAAUAACCUAAUUGAAUGCUCCAACAAAAUUGGGGAAGGAAAUUAAUUUAUUUAAAAGAAAAAAUUAGGGUUAGGCGGAUACAACCUAAACUAAGGUAGCGUCAAAGUCAGGCCGAGGGAGCUAAUAACUGUGUAAAGAGGAGAAAUAUAAAAAGAAGCCGGUCUCUCGCCUCUCCUCUCUUAAAGCAUGGACCCCAUCAACCGCGUAUGACCUCCGCUUCAAGCUUUCAACGCACCGUAUCUACCUUCCUAUUCUGCUUCCUUCUCGCUUUCCUUUCCCCUAUAUAUUCUCUCCAACUCUUCUCUCCCAAACCAUCCUAAACCCAUUCUUUUCUUCUUAUUCUAUUUUCAUUAGCAUAUGUCUCAGAGGCCUUCCGUCCCUCACUCUUCUUCCGUAGCUUUUAGCCUCCAUUCUCAUCUUCUUGUCUCCAGUGAUUUGAACCCCAACUGGGUUUCAUUUUUAUAGGCAAAUUUUAUUGAUUUUUGCGUUUUUGGUUCCAUAUUUUUUCAUUCUUUUUUUAACCAGAGGGAAAGAAGGUAGAGAAGGAGAGAUAACUAACCAUGGGUGUCAAAGGUUUUGUUGAAGGUGGGAUUGCUUCCAUUGUUGCUGGUUGCUCCACUCAUCCUCUCGAUCUGAUUAAGGUCCGCAUGCAGCUUCAAGGCGAGAGCUUGCCAAAUCCUCACCACCAAAUACACAACCUACGCCCUGCUUUCGCCUUCAAUUCCUCUGCUUCUGCUGCCGUCAUUCCUCCCAACUCCAUCCAUGUCUCUGCCCCACCACCGCCGCCUCGCGUUGGCCCAGUCUCUGUCGGCAUGCGCAUUGUGCAGGCUGAAGGUGUUGCUGCAUUGUUCUCCGGCGUUUCAGCCACCGUUCUCCGUCAGACACUCUACUCCACAACUCGCAUGGGUCUUUACGAUGUUCUCAAACAGAAAUGGACCAAUCCAGAUACUGGAAGCAUGCCGCUGGUGAGCAAGAUCACCGCUGGAUUAAUCGCCGGAGGGGUCGGUGCGGCCGUCGGUAACCCAGCCGAUGUGGCGAUGGUGAGAAUGCAAGCGGAUGGACGGCUCCCUCUGACUCAGCGGCGCAACUACAAUGGCGUGAUUGACGCCAUAACGCGAAUGUCGAAGCAGGAGGGAAUAGCUAGCCUGUGGCGCGGGUCGUCCCUGACUGUGAACCGUGCAAUGAUCGUGACGGCGUCGCAACUGGCGUCGUACGACCAAAUCAAAGAAGCCAUUCUGGAGAAGGGAGUGAUGAGGGACGGGCUGGGGACGCAUGUGACGGCGAGCUUCGCGGCGGGGUUUGUGGCGGCAGUAGCGUCAAAUCCAGUGGAUGUGAUAAAGACGAGGGUUAUGAACAUGAAAGUGGAGGCAGGAAAAGCCGCGCCGUACAACGGAGCGAUUGAUUGCGCAAUGAAGACGGUGAAAGCUGAAGGGAUUGUGGCCCUUUACAAGGGUUUUAUACCUACGAUUUCACGGCAGGGCCCUUUCACUGUGGUUCUCUUUGUGACGCUUGAGCAAGUCAGAAAAUUGUUCAAGGAUUUUUAAUCAAUUACUGAUGACGACGACAAAAUUAUUAUUCGUAUUAUUUCCAGUCAUAAGAAAUUGAAUGCAGUCUUACUAUUACUAUUAUUAUUGUUGAUGGUGAAAAUUAUUAUUGGAAUUUCUUUUUUAAGACUCUUAAUAAUUUAGUAUUGUUCUUACGUCCUGCAAAAGCGUUUGUUCUUGUUAUCUUAGUCUAUGCGUGUGGCAGUUCUGUUGAAUUUUCCUUUCAAAAUUAUUUUACUCGACACGUUUAACUUCCGUCCAUGUCACUGUCAGCUCUGGGUCGUUGCCAGUUGCUGCAAGCACAGGUCCUCCUUGAGGGGAUCUCGGAGAAGAAUUGACUUCUCGGCAGCGGCUUUUGUAGUCUCUCGUGUUGUGCGUGUGAGCUCUGGAACUUGUGACGGGCACGUGGUUGUGCUUCCACGUCUGAGUUUCUGGGAUCUGCCCGUUGAGCCGUUGUGUUGGCUUAGAACGCUGAACGCGCAUGAUUGCCGUAUUGCCAGUUUGAUACGAUAGAAAAGACCAUGAUAUUGGCCGAGUUUCAUGACCAUUGUGCUUGUAAUUACAAGCAGCGAAUGGGUAUUGACUUUCACCAUCACCUUCUAUUCUCCAAUAUUUGGAAGAAAAAAAUGGAAACUCAACGCGAACUUGAUGUCCCUGAAAAAUAUAGAAAAGAUUGAGUAAUGCAGUUCAUCUAAUCAAAAUAAUUUGUGGGACAGCGAUGCAUGUAAAAUUAGAUCAUCAAGACAAUAGGCGGAGGCUUGAUUAUAGGUCAUGUAAGAGCACACUCACAUUAAAAUCGGCGUUUACCCAUACAAAAGGACGUAAACAAAAUCCUGCUUCGUCAACUUACAAGCAAUUCAGCUUAGGACUCAACUUACAUCUGGUUGCUAUGUACAACCUAGGGUUAUGGGGUAUCAGCACUAAUAACACCUUUCAGUUUGGACACCAAGUACCUUGAUGUAUUGCUCUCUCCAUUUACCAAGUGCCACGAUCCAUCUCACACAAAUUGCCGAUAUAAAAAUGCUAGUGUGUGCAAAAAAAUGAUCACUAAUUUGAGUAUCAUCUGGAGUUGGUUCUCGGAGUCGCAUGAGCUUGGCCUCCUGUUCCACUUUUGCCUAAAUUAUGGGUACCAUGGCAUUCAUAUUUUCCUUUGUCUGGUCUAAGGGAUGUUGGAUUUCCAAAGAUUUUCCUCCAUCUCGGAGAUUAUCUGAUUUUCUAGAUUUUAAAAAAAAUUUAUGUUAUUGACCUUCUAUCCCCGAGCUCUCUGAUCCUCUGCCUUUUUCUGGAUUUUGAACGGAAUGAACUUCUGAACCUUGGCUCUUGUCGGGGAGUUGGGGCGAUUGACGAACAUCUGAUCCUCUAACUUUAUUAGUUGCAGCUGCUUGACCUGAAGAUCGACCUGAAGCUAUAUUUUGGAGUUCACUGGCAAGCUGGCCACGCCGCUCCUUCAAAAAAUUGAGUCGGGUUGUCAAUUUUGUCAGUGCAGAAGUUGUGGAAUUCAGCCCCUGUUAUGCACAAUUGCAGCAAGUGGCAUGAAUAUAUCUAGAACUGAUAGUUUCCAACGAAAGCAAAUUGGUGAAAUUCUCAGGCCAACUUGACUACUUGAGAAACACAAUUGGCUAGUUUCAUGUUUUACCUCGCUCCUUAAGCUAGACUUUUUGGAAGUGGUUGAAGACUUGGAGUUGCUGCUCCGUGCAGGGUCUGGCUGCUGGUUUUGAGGUGGAGUCUUGUUCGGCAAAUUAGUUGAUUCGUCUGCAUAAUUAUCCUGUUAUACCAGAAACUGCCAGUUAAGGAAAGAGAGUGGACUUCCAAAGACAACAGACACUAAUCUACUGGUUGAUCUAGAUUCCAAAGAACCUUCUUCACGUUUAUCAAUUAAUCUAAUAAAAUCAACCACAAUGUUACUUUUCAAGCUUAAACAAAGAAUUGCAAAGAUGCGAAGGGAAUGCUGUGAAUUAUAGACGACCCUCUCUCAACCCUGGCAAAGCAAACGAUUUUGUACACCACUUUUAAACAAUACUAGUCUCAGAUUAAUUUGGAUUCUCUAAGAGCUUGGUCAAGACAUGAGGCUUUUCUCUAGUUUUUUGAUAACCACUAAUUGGGUUUCAUCUAUCAAGGCCUAUUAAUGGAAAACAUCACUUAAAUAAACAAGAAGCACUAACAUGCAGUUACCUUGUAUGCAGACCUUCCAAAAUAUGAAAUCGCAUUAGCAUCAAUAUCUCUCUGUUUAUCUUUCCUGCAAACAAAGAGAAAAUUAAGCACUAUGCACCAUUAGUUUGUAUUUGUUCUUUUCUGUUUUUCAAAAGGAACACAAGAUCCUUCCCCUCUCCACCCAUCACACGUCAUCUAUUUGAAGCCUUUAACAUACCGCUUUGCUUGAUUGCUUGAAUCUUGCUCGCAUUGCUGCACGCUGAGAUCAUCAACCUUCUGCUUCAAAUUGGAGACAUCUGCCUCUGGUUGACUUAAUUCCUCAAGCUCAGCCUUCAUCUGUUGCACCCUUGCAAGUUAACAAUUUGAUGCAUGACAGAGACAAACUAUAAUUAACACCUAAAAAGAGUUGGACUGACUUCUUCAUCAAAAAAAGCUGAAACAGAUUGGUGUGCCUGAGAUUCAUCAAGUCCUGCCUCCAGAAACAUCGUCUUUUCUCUCUCCUUUUGCAGCUCUUCCUGAAGUCUUGCCACCUGUAAAUAAAAUUAGCGUAAGAAACACAAUUACGCUUGCUCACCAGCGUCAACAUUAUACUGAAAAAAUUCAACCAAGUGCACACAAUUUACCUGAUAAAGAUGAUGAAGAAAAUAAUAAUAAAUAAUAAUAACAAUAAUGAUAACAAUUCAUUCAGAUUAUAGGCAACUGUGAAUGUCUGUCUCCAGGCAUUAAGUAAUGCCAACUUGAUUCUAAUUUCUACUUUACACAUCCCUUGUCCCAUAAAUAUUUUUUAUUAUUACUGAAACUCAAUCAUCACACCUUCAAUUCAUGUCCAUGCUGAAAAGGUAAAUGAAGUUACCUGAGAAUCACAAAGAUGUCCUCUUUCUAGCUAGGUGCUUUCACAAUAUAAAAUAUGGAUUUGUCAUUGCACUACCAUUAUCAUGGAGAGAAAAAAAGAAUAAUGGAAAGCAUGCAAUAGAAAUCCUAUGCUGCUGUUGAUGUCCUCACUUGAAAUAUACUGCAUAAAAUUCUCACUUCUAUGUAGCCAAACUGAGAUAACUUCCUAGCUCUUUAACAAACACCCAUGAAAAGAGGAUCUAACAAAUCUGUUUCCCUUCCCACAUCUCCUACCUAGGCGAAUGAAUAGAAUCAAUAGAUACUUGGAUAAGGGGAAAAAAAAACUUAAAAGUUCCUCAUGCACCUCUGCUUGCCUAGGGGACAAAAAUAUCCAUGACCCUGUGAAAUUGGAAGAGACAAAAAGAGGAAAAAUGGAAGAACCAAUACAACAACACAGACGGUGAAUUUCUACAGAACAUACUUCUUGCACAAGGGCUACACGGCGUUCAUGCAAGGCCUUCUUUCGUUUUUCCAAGUUGGCUUGCAGAACUGCAUUUCCUUUAACCUGUAAGCGAAAAUAAAGUUAAUUAUUGUGAAACCCCCCAAAAAACUUCAUAUUGAUUACUAGAAAGAGGCACCAUUUGAAAUAUGCACCUCUUCAUAAAUUCUACGUUGCAAGUCAAUUUUAGCAGACUCCAGCUUCUGGAUUUCAGCUCUACAUUCAGGUCAAAAUGUCAGAUGCAAUCACAUUUGGAGCCAACUAAUAGCUGUCCAUGACACUUAAAAGAAAGGUCUUAAGCCCAUCCUAAAUGACAUGUCCAUUUUUGAAAAAAGGAAAUAUAAAAUUAAGAAUUAAACAGUAUGUUUGAAAAUUGUUGCAUCAUUAAUCCUACAAGAUGCAUAAAUAUUGAUACUGGGAUGUAAAUCUGAAAGUCUAGUCAAUCAAAGUUCAACACCAUGAACAUGAGGGAUAUCUAACUAUAAUAAGUGAUUUUGAAAGAGAUCACACAUUUAUCAACCAUUCAGUAAUAUAACUGGAUAGUAAUAGUAAGUUGGAAGGAGAAGGGGAGACUUAUGUAUUGACAUCCAAAUCUUCACAUCAUAAGGACUAAUUGACAAAAAAUUAAUAGCAUCAGUUAAGAAAUCUACCAAAUAUUCCAGAGAAAGAUGUUAAACUAGUCGACCAAAAUAUAUUGCUCAUACAUAAAUUACAUGUUAUUUCCUUGGAAUAUCUUUUUGAUCCAGGUAAAACAACAUAAAAAGAAUGUCAGCCAAAUGUAACAUAACAUCUUUCUUCUGUUAUUUCAAAAUUAAUCUAUUAUGGUCCCUUCUCUCUGUUUGUCCCUCAUGCACGCUUACAAACUCCCAUAAAGCAUUAGUUAGACCAACCCAGAAGUUAACUCUAAAAUAUUUCCUAUUUUCCCUUCAAUUUAAAAUUUCAAUUAAUUGAAGUCCAUACACAGAAUGAUGGCAUCAAGAAUGUGUACACAAUCUUUAUUAUAGGAUGCAAAAAUGGCUGCAACAACAUAUAGAUAAGACCAUAAGGACAUUAAAAGAAGUGUAUUCUGCCAAAUAAAUAAGCAAGACUUACUCAUCAUCCGAAGUGCAAUCAAUGGGAGCCAUAGAAAUGUCUGUCUUUGCCUGAACUCAUGUCCAGAAGGAAAGAGGAAAAAAAAUCAGAUCACAAAUAACUCACUCGUAACAUGAACUCCUGCCAAUGAGAAAAUGAUUAAAUAUGCAAAUUUAAUGUCCAAUUUCUCUUUUGGAAAAAGAGAUAGUUGGAGAACAUUCAAUGGGAGAAAAUAAGUGGCAAUGCAACACCAAACCACAUUAUUGUUAUUGACACAAGAUAUACACUCACAUAGACUCGGUCCAAAACGUUUGCAGGCUUAUGCUGCUGUCCAUUGGACAUGCUUGCAGAUUUUUGAAUGCAUGCAGAUGGAUCAUCAGUUUGCGUGUUCUCCAAAAUUGUUUCCCUCGGAUCAUCUCCUGGCUUUUCAUCUGACUGAAUGAUUUGUGUUGCCAAAUUAUUGUUACUUUGGCCCAGAAUAUUCUCACUCCUUUCUACAUCACGAUCUGUAGGUAGUAAAAUUUGAACUGAAUUUGAUGAUUCUUCAACUCUACAAUCAUUCUCUACUUGAGUGGACUUGGCAGUAGAUCUAUGAUCAUCACCCUGCAUCUUAGAAGCAGAUAGAGUAAGUAUUUUUCACUUUUAUCAUCUGAACAAUCCAAUAUGUGCAACUGCAUUUUCAUUUGUAUAUUGUAAUAAUUACAUAUUCUUGUGCUAGAAAGUACAGACAACCUUAUUGUCAGACAUAUCUUUGUCCCCAGAAUCACCACUCUCUGUUCCAGUUGAUGCAUUUCCAAGAUCAUCAUCUGAGUAUGCAUCAGACUCUUGAGAUGCAUCAUUCUGAUCAUCAUCUUCAUAGUAUUCACCAUCAUCUGUUACCUCCUCAUCCUCGCUUUCACGCUCCUCUGAGUCGGAAUAUAAUCCAGGAGACAUGACACCUUCCUGAAGAAGCUAUAUGAACUCAUAAGAGGCAUAAAGUAAAAACUUUUAGAUGAAGAAAACAAUCUAAUAUUAAGAAGCUGUCAAAUUCUUUUAACUUUGGCAUUUUGAUAUUUCUAUUGUUAUUAGUGCUAUUACCUUUAGCGCACCAGUACUGGCCUAUAUUUUGCAUUAUAUUGCACUACACAAUAAACAUAUCAUUCCAAUGUUUAUACUACUGGUCUUUUUACUCCUCAAAUCUGGAUGAAAUUCAGGGGUGAUUGCUGCUAAACUCAGAACCAUUAGUCAGAAUUAUAAGGACACCAGUUUCCAUCUCUAAGUGGAUUUCAGAAACAUCAAUGACUUUACUACUCUACGUAAUAUUAAUACGGCAAUAAGUCCUAUGUACUUUUGCUCAAGAGCCAAAUAAGUCCAAUUCAAUUUUCUUAGCCAAUUAAGUCCAUGUACUUUUGCUGAGGAUCAAAUAAGUCAUGACUUAAUAUAAUAUAAUUUUUUAAUAAUAAAAUAUUAUUUUUUAUAAUUUAAAAUAUAAAAAAUUUAGUAUUUUAAUUAAUAUAAAAAUAAAAAAGUACAUAGAAAUACUAAAUAAUUUUUAAAAUUACAAAAAUGAAAUUUUAUUUAAAAAUAAUAUUUUAUUUAUUAAAAAAAAAUAUUUUAUUGUUAAAAAAAUAAUACCAUAUUAAGUCGGGACUUAUUUGGCCUUUAGUAAAAGUACAAGGGCUUUAAAUUGACUAAAAAGUUUGAAUUGGGCUUAUUUGACUCUUGAACAAAAGUAUAGGGACUUAAUUGGACUUAUUUCUUUAUUUCUAUAUUAAUACAAAGGAAAGGAUAAAAAAAUCUUUUAAGCUUAACUCUCCAUCGCCUCCAAAUGGCUGCUUGACUCUCCAUAUUGACUUUAGACCCUAAAGCAUUCCCCAAGUGAUUCAAAAAAGUUAAUGCCUAGAAUCGUGUAAAUCCCAGAGAAAGCACUAAGUAGAAAACCUUCCAAAUUUAAACAUAAGCAUGCUUUACAUGGUGCUGGAGAACAUAUCAAUAGUGGUUCUUGUUAGAAUAUUGCAAGUGUGAAAACUAUAAUUGUGUAAAUAAUGGGAUAUAUUAUAGGGAUUUCAUUGCUUGUGUUUCCUAAUUGAUUCACUGACCAGCUAUGUGUAAACCCCAUUGCUUGAGGGAAUAAGCAAGAACUUUCUUCUCCAAAACUCUACUAUUCUUUCUAUUUCGACAAUUCUAAAUAAAAAGAGAGAUUUACAGCUUACACUGAAUAUCUUAUCAUACUCCUCCAUCAAUGUUAUAACAAUGGCUUGAGCAUGAUUAGCUGCAGCAGCUGCUUGCAGAAGUUGCAUAGAACCAUCACCUCCCACAUCAAAAUCAUUUUCAAUUUCACAUUCACCAGCUAGAAGGGGACGAAGAAGUAAAGGUGCCAUACAAGCAGCAACAGCUGAAGUGCUCAUUCGAUUCUCAGCUUUGUGGGAAGCAACUUUUUGCAUCAUCAAUAAAAUUCUGCACGCACAAACAAAAUAUAACAUCAUUUACAAUCACCACGAUAGUCUGAGCUGAGAGCAAAAUGUUUAAAUAGGAAAAGGACAUCAUGCAGAAACAAAAAAGAUAAGGCAAAGGCAAAUCUAACACAUUAUUAUGUUCACCUAAUCUCAAAUAUGAAUGAGACAGUUCACGUAGUGCAGAUUGACAAUCCAAAUGACUAAAAUUAAGUCUAAUCUAAAAAUUAUAAUUACCAAAAAAAAAAGCUCAGAUUGCUAUAAACUAAAAUACUUAGAAUAAAUCCCCAUUUCCCUUCUAAAUUAUGCCUUCCAUUUCUCGUGCAUAGACUUAGAAGAACAUAUAGAUAUUAAUGAUUAUUGUCCUUCUCGUCAAAGGCAUUAUAAAACAUUUGGGUGCAAGAAUGUAAGUGCACUAGAGAUAUUGUAUGCAAGAAGAAAUGUUACACAAGGUCUUUCUUUUGUUUUGCCUUCUUUUAUGCAACUAUACAUAAGAAUCAUCCUAGGUAAAAUAUCAACUUAUCCUAGAGAAGGACCAACCAGACUUGUAGGUAGAGAAAUAAACCAUGAAGUGCACAUUAAAUUUGAUUAAGAGAAUCCAAAGUGCAUUCAGCAGGGAAACCAAAAUAUAGGUGGUAAUUAGCAAGAAAAGGGUCUGUUAGAAGAUCCACAUGCUUAUGGAAAAGACACAUAAACUACCUUUGCAAUAAGCGACGAUUUGGCUCAGGGAAGGUUUCCAAUAUUGCCACUCGAAUGGCAUUAACUGAAUUGCCACGAUCUUUUCCUGAAAAUUGUUAAAAAGUAGUCAAAUAAUGGAUAAUGGCAUUGAAAAAUAUAUAAGCAACUGAAAACACCAUAACGGGACGCCACAAGAAAAAAAAUGUAGAAACAGAUUUCCUUGAUUAUUUUACUGAAUUUUAUAGGAAGCUCACAACUCCAUCAUAAAUCCAUAAAUGCUUAAAGUUACGUCAUCAUGAAUCUCCAGCACCUUUGUUUCAAUUAAUUUGUACUGCCCCUAGCUACCCCAAUUUACCAAAACAAUAGAAUUGGAAACUCAAUCUUUGUCCCGACUCCAUAACUUAGACAUAUAUCCAAGAAGUUAGAUUUUUUUUACUAUAUAAAUUGUUCAAGAUUGUUUUCAAAUCAAAUCUCUGUUAGAUUUAAAAUGUCACUAUUAGUGUAAAAGCAUACUCUCAUCAAUCAAAUGCUACAUAAGGAAACUGAAUAACUAUGCCCCAUAUAUCGAGUACAGUCAAGGUAUGCAUAUUAAGGUAACUAUGCAGAUAAACAAGAAAGCAUUCAGGUAGAGAACUAGGAUAGAUAUGCCCAAUUUUUAUGUUCAUGCAUAAAACUUGCACAAAUUUGUAUUUCACUUACCAACAUCAUUGUAUGUUGUUUGGAACAAAAGUUUGGAUAAUUUUAUUUAUGAGAAGUACAUGUGAGAGGCACAAUAAACAAGAAGAUAUAAUGGACUUUAUAUUGUUCAAUGUAGUUUCUUAUGCCACAAAACCAAAAACAUUAUUCACAUUCUUUCUAGUUUGACCAACAAACAGGACUAAAAUCUUGCACCACAAACUCUGCUUCAAAUCAUGGUAAGAGAUGUUAUAUGUUUGGACUAAAAAGUGUGGAGCUAAUAAGGAUUAGGAAUCAAUAAAUUAUCUAUGAGAAAAAGGAAAAGAAAGUUGUCAAUUUAAAAUGGCACUUGUAUUAUUUGCUAAUGUCAUUUUAGUAUAACAUGCAUAGCUAAUAGAUAAAACGACAUGAUUUCAGAUGACAAUAAUAAAAUACACACAUCGGCAACAGACUUACGAAAUGCUUCUAGCAGUGCCUUGCAGCAAGAUGCAGGGACUGGGGAGGACGGCAACUCACGGAGGAAAAACUGGAAGAUUGCGAGGACAUUGAUUAAGAAGUUCAAGGACUAAGAAAGUAAUGGUUUCAUAAAUAAACUGUAAACUGCAUUCAUUGUGACAAGGAAAAUACCUUGAUACAAUCAGCAAUCACAUGUGCAUCUUCCCCUGGAGAGAACUCCGAUUUUCCUAAAUCAUAAAGCAAGACCCAAAACUCUAAAAUACAGAAGGAUAAAUCAGAAAUAAAAUUAUUUCCAAUUUCCAACGUGAGACAACCAUGUAACUGCCUUAUUUAUCUUUACUACAUAAAUACAGAUGUUUGCUAACUAUUAGUAUCUGAACAUUUUGUACUCUGUAUGCUUGUCAAAGUUAAUUCAAGGAAAAGAACACAUGAACAUUAAACUUUAGAUUGGUCUAAAAUGUGAAUAUGAAAAAAGAAGCCUGUGUCAGUUGCCUUUUAAAAACAAACCAAAAUUAUUACAAAAGGAAUUUAGUAAACCUUGUUCAUAUUCCCGAAUUCGAUGCUCAACAUCAUCAACAGCUGCAGCUUGUCGUAGAAUUCCUUCCACCCUGACUCCUGUUUAUUACUUUUCAAUUGAUCAGAAUGAAACAACUCAGAAAAGAAAACAAAUCUGUCCAUAUUUAACCAACAGUGGAAGAGAUUUCCUGACUUUCAAGAGACUUGAUAGAUUAAGAAAAGACAUCGACAUGAAAGCUUUAUCUCAGGAACCUUUGAAAGGCAAAAUAAGUCGGAAGAAAAUUGGAAAAAGGGAAAUUACAGGAUUCUUUAUAGAUCUUUAUUUGUUUAACUCGACUAAAAAUAAAUGGGAAACAAAAGAUAAUCUAUUUUUUCUUCAAAGGGAUACAAAACUAUUACGAAAUAUAGAACUUAAAGAAACCAAAAUAACUACCAAAUUACAUGCAUGUUUUGAAAGGCAUCUUGAAAGUUGAUAACAAAGACAGAUACUUAGAAGACCUUUUCUUCUAUAAGAAAACAAUUUAUAGACUCUUCAAAGAGGCAGGGUCAAUCACCCAAACCAUAUCUGCUGGCAAAAGGAAGUACAUAUCAUGGAAAUGGUGGAUUUUCCAUCGUAGUAAAAGUGCUUAAAAAAUGUUUAAUCAUUUUCACGAUAAUCAAAAAAUAAAUAAAUAAACCUUGGAAGAUGCACUUGCCAAUUAUAAUGUUUCAGAUAAAAUGUGCGUUAUCUCUCAAGCACAAGAAAAAAAGGUAUCCCAGCCAACAAAUAGCGAAGUAUUUCUUAAUCAAUGGACAAAAAUAUGCAAGAAAGUAAUUCAGUCCAGAAAACACAUCUUAAAAUACUACUAAACAGUAUCACAAGCAAGCAUGGCAAAGAAACCUACCGUGCUCUUCUAUAUAUUUAAGAGCCUUUUCUAGGAAAGAUGGAGAUCCAUCAACAUCUUCUAAAGCAAGUAAAACUGGUCUGCCAAUGACCAAAGCUUUCAUGGACACUUUAUCCUUCACUGUGGAUGGAAAAAAAAGCAUCAGCAGUAUCCCAAUUAAGUGAAAACUGGAAGAGAAAAAGUUUCCCUAGUUCAGAACUUCAUACAGGAUCUCAUGGUACAAAAACUAUUCUAAAAGAAGUUUGAAGAUUCCCAUGCCAAUAAUCAGAGAUUGUGGACACCAAUUUCCAUGAUAAAAUGAAAAGAAAAUUUGGAAGAUCUAAAGCUCAUCGUAACACCAAAAGUAAAAUUCUACUAAAAUUGGCACAAGAUCGUCCCUUGUUUUUUCACAAAAAGUGAGCUAUUAAAAGUAAAACAUCAGGUUUUUUGAAUUAUUAUAUCUGAUUGCCACCUAGAAUUUCAAUAUCUUAUAAGUUUUGCUUUGUAAAACUCUUAAGCUCUUGGAACAUCUUAGCAAAAAUUUAAGCUGCACAAGAAUAUUAAAUCCAGAAAUUCCCAGUAGCAAUUGGUAAUCAAGAAACUUGAGCAAAAUAUAAAGAAAGAAAAUACAUGUUACUGCACAGUGGUCCGAAGAAGCAUCAGUUCCAUCAUUCUGAUCAUUCUUUACAAUACCAUUUGGUGCCAUUACAGGAGCACUUGGUGCUCGUGCCAGAGCAUUCUCAAGUGCAGCCUUCCAUUCAUAUAAAUCUUCCAAAGUUUCAGCCUGCAAGACAACAAAACUCAACAGUGGAUUACACAAUCUCAAUGGUGCAAAUAGUAAAUAGUGGGGAAGAAUGCUCCCAAUUUUCAUUUAUGCCCAUUAUUUAACACACGUUUCAAUUGAUGAUUUCUUCAGCAGAUUUUGACCACUCAAAACAUACAUUGACUAAAAUGUUAUCGGUAGAAUUGAAAUCCAAGUCAGUUUUCACUAGCCAUUCCUACCAAAGCACCAGUUUAUAAAGGAAUAUAAUGAAGUAUAGAGUUCAACAUCCGAGUUCCAACUUCCUUGACUUUGAUAGUGCAUCCUUUUUUUUUUGUUACGUGUGCUAUAAUAAUGAAAAAGCAAUCUCAAAAGAGACUCAAAUAAAAGAAUAGAGAGCCACCUUAAGAGUGAAAGCUCGCCCAUCACGUCCAUCAGGAAAGAGAACAGUCAAGAGUUUUUUUUCUGAUUUCACAACCACACUAGAAAUCAACCAAAUAGAAUGCUGUGAAGUAAGUAACUUAGACUCAAUUCUGUUGUGGAAACAACUACGAUAAACAAAACUGAAAUUAACUAACUGAAAAAGCAAGCUGACCUGCCUGAACUGUUGAGAUCAAUACCACCAAGAGUCAAGUUCGCUUCACUCCCUUUUUGAGUAACAGCAUUCUGGGAGGUUCAAUUGUAGGUGAACCUUAUAAAACUAUAGAAGUGCAAUUGACAUGCAGAAUGAAAGAGAUGGGAAAGGAUUUGAAUAAUUACAAUAUUAAAUGCUGUUGUCCAUACGAUAUGUGCAUUUGCAAAUAAAAAUAUGCAAAUUUACUUACUGGAUCACUUCUGAAGAAAACCAGUGAAGUUCGUGUAAGAAUAAACCAUCGCUUCUUCCAGGAUGUCCAACCAAUUCCUAUGUAAAGAAUUUAUAGAGAAUAUAACUCAAGUAGGCCAAGAUCCUCAUAGAAGUUAUUAGAGAUGCAUCUUAGAUGUUCAUAAAUAUUAUAUAUCUCAGGUACAUAUUGAUACCAAUGAAAUUCAUAAAGCAUGAAUAGAUUAUUGUAUAUAACUCAACUCCUAGGGUUGUUAAAACUGAUACACAGAGUACGUUUUAUCUAAAGAAACAAAUGCCAUAUAUCCAGCUUAGAUGUCUAUAGUCAGCAUAAAAAGACAGGAAAGGCCGCAGAAAGUAUCUGAAUGUUGCAAAUUGAAAGAAAAAACACGAGGUUCUCCAUAGAGAUAACUAAAACUUCAAUUAAAUAUGAUUAACCACACUGAAGAGAGAACUGGAGCUUUUUUUUUCAAAAAAUAAAAAAAAAUGGAAAGCUCAACCUAAGGGCAAGUGUUGGAAUCAUCAAAACUGCCUCUUUGCAAAACAGCAGGUGAAAGAAUGCCUGAACCUUAAUACAUAAUUGACAUAAAAAGUGAUUUUAAAGUACAAUAAGUUACUGUCUUUCUUUUUUGCUAAUUUCUUCCUAUGUCAAUGGAAUUUCAGGAUAUAUAAACAGCAAAUAUAUGUUAGUUCAGGAAGCAUCAAGAAUCAUGCCAUUUUUAGAAGACUUGAUACAAGCACAUUUAACACCUUUGCAAACAGUAGCUUGCUAUUCAUCAUUAAGUGUAAGAAUUAAGAAAAUACAUAAACACUAGAUUUGAAAGACACCUUUAGAUGAUAUAAAAAGCGGCCCACUCUUGUAAACCUGCAACAAAGAUGAUAUACUUAGAAUGCAUAAGAACCACUAGCUUCAAGAUGAGAGAUUAUAGAUCAAAAUUGAAAAUAACCAGUAGACUCCAUCAAGCAAUAUACUCGAAAGCAUACAAUAUAAAUUAGCGGAUAAAAUCCUGUCAUAUUAUUAAUUUCUUAAAAAACACUACUUAGGCAUAGGUGUACCUAAAUUGUGGCACUGUUCAUCAAACUUUAUUUUUCAUAUGUUAUUAAAAAAAUUACUCAUAUUUUCGUCCAUAUCCAUUUCAAUUAUUAGGUUAGAAAAGAAAAAAAAAAAAAAAAGUGGUAUGAUAAUUGAUAUAACCUGAUCAAUAGCGGCAACAUUGACGGUGGUCUAGAAGAUCUCAUUAGAAAAAUUCAAAGAUAAGAAAAAAAAAAACUCAAAAAGAAAAGAAAAAGCAAAUCACCGUAUUCCCAGCCCGGGAACCAAUAUUUUCAGACUGUCCCUGCGGCGGAGGUGCAGCAGGAGAUUGAGCAGCAACGCCAUCUCCCUACACAAAACAAAACAACAGAAAUAACAAAAACAAAAAAGCAUUACUCCACAAACGAUCACGGUAUACACUGAAAUUUAAUUUCAAAAAUACCGGCCAAGCCAUUAAAAAGGGAUUAUGUAAUUUAAUUGGCAUCAUUUUGCAUCACAUUGUACCUGAGACGCUUCUAUGUUUGCGUUCUUGUUCAUAGUCGUCAGUUGAUCCAUAAAUCACAAAAAAAUCACAUCUCACUGGACUAUCAGCAAGCAAAUACACUCUGCACCUGCAUCGGCACCACCAAGGCCACAUUGAUCAAGCUCAAACUCAAUCGUGGAAACAAAUUCAGAGUAAAAAUAGCUGAAUUGAGAAUAAUGUACCUGGUUUGGACAGGAAGAAAAAAAGAGAAAAGAGGAGAAGAAGAGUUUUUUGUAGAGAAAAUUUCUUUUUUGUUUUUUUCCCCCCUCAGAUGGAUGUGGUGAUGGUUUCUCUUUUCUCUCCAGGAGAUUUUCCAACGGAAACCCGGUGGUCAAGCAAAAAAACUUCCCCAAAGAGAGCGGGGCCUUUCCUUACAUGCGGCAGUGGCACUCGUACACGUCACACGCAUUCUUAGCUAGAAUGUAUAUACUUGUUCUCCUCUCAGCGAACGUAAUGGAUUUGAGUGGAGGGAAUAUAUGAUUCAUGGAGGGCACUCCAUGUAAUUUCCACUCAUGUCACUCUCUGCCUAGUUUCUUGCAAACUCUUGUUUUCAUUUUGUACCAACUGCCUGCUUAAUUGUGUCAUGUUGCUAUUCUCCAGCAUUCCAAUAAUCCAGUAAAUAAUUUCUUUUUAUUCAUUUAUGCUUGAUCAUAAAAUUAAGAAUAAAAUUAAAAUUGAAACUAUGGGGGCAACAGGAUGUAGUAGUGGAAUUUUUUGUCGUCAGCCAGAGACAUGAAACGUGGAGAAAUUCAAGCACGGGACACAUAUUCCUGGAUGGAGAAAUUUCCCUUCUGCAACUAGUAGUGUUGAUGCAGUGCUUUGGUGGAUAAUCUGAUGUAAGGUCCACGUGACUCGCAGUUGGAUUUUUCUAUAUAAAAGCUGCCUAUCUGUCGGGACACGGUUUCAUUUUAAGUGAAAAAGGCAUCGACCUCAUCUCUCGAGUGAAGAAUGAACAACUUAAGCCAUUGGCCCAUGAUAAGAACGAGGUUAAGACCUAAAUUUGGGCCCAACUUGAUUUGUUAUAGCUGCAUCUGCAGCCACUUGUGGCGCAUUUAUUAGAAUCCAGCAGUGAUUAACCAUCAAUUUGUUUUCCUUUUUCUUUAUUACAAAUUUUUAUUUUUUUAAUCGAUGAUAAUACGGAAAACAAUUUUAUAAAAUUAAAACUUAAAUAAGUAAUAAAAAGAGAUUAAUUUUUCCUUAACUAAAAAACACUGAUAAAUUUUUCUAAAUGUCUUAGAAAAAUAUUUUUAUGAGAAAUAGUUUAUGUAAAAUAAAAGAGACUUAUAAAAUAUUCAAAUAAGUAAAUAACUCAAUUUCAGUUUAUGAAGUUCUAAAAAAAAAUUAUUAGAUAUCUGUAUUUUAUAUAUAGGAUAAUUUAGAAAAAAAAUACGAUAAGAAAGUUAUAGAUUUUAAAAUAGUAAAAUUAAAAUUUAAUAUGAAACAUUAAUUUUAUUAACUAAAUAAAAAAAUAUAAAGCUUGACGAUUCUUAGGGCCAUUAUUACUAUCUCGUACUCGGCUAAGUUGUUGGUGGCUUUGAAGGCGAGUUUUGCCGCAUAUCGAAGCUUCAUGCUAGUUUGAGAUUGCAAAAAGGAUCCUGAUUCUUGUGCCCUUAGCUCCGCAAGCUCCAUCUGCCCACACUUUCCACUAUUUUAUGGUUAUUUUAGAGGACUAUGAGAGUUACAGUAGUGGAUUCAUCUCUACUACAAAGUCGGCUAGGACCUGGGCCUUUAUGGCCUUUCCAAGAACAUACCUGAUAUCAUAGGCUAAUAAUAUUACUAUCCAAGUGGACAAUCAUUCUGACAGUUUCAGUCUGUGUAAAAUCUUUCGUAAGGGAUAAUUGGUUCUGACUUCUAUGGUGUGUGAUUUGAAGUACAAUCGCAACUUUAUGGCUGAUAUGAGUACUGUAAACGUCAAUUUUUCAAGAGGAGGUUAGUUCCCCUUUCAGAACUUGGUUGGCAUAAUAUACUGGACUUUGUUCCCCAUUGCUCUCACGAAUGAGUACCAAACAAACUGUUUUCUGCGUCACAGACAAAUAUAAGAACAAAGCUUCACCUUCGACAUGCGGGCUUAGCAAUGGAGGAGAGGCUAAAAAGGUUUUUAAACUUUUAAAAGGUAAUUGUGAAAAAUAAUCAUUCUAAAUUUAACAAGAUUUACAUAAUUUUAAUUAAUAGAAUACAUAAAUUGUACUAAUUUUAUUAUAAUCAUGAUAAAAAUAAUCUACCAUUGUACAAAACAUCUCACAUGAUAAAUUUUAUAAUUGUAAUUAUGAAUUAAAAAAAUACACCAUUAGUCCUAUUUAUUUUUUAUAUGAAUUUAAAAAUAUAAUUAAUAUACUUAAAAUAAUAAAUUUUCUAUUGGUUUUAUUAAUAUAUUAUAUAUUCAUAUUGUUGAAUUAUUAACUCUUAUUUAAAAUAAAAAAUUUUAUAAGAAUUUAAUUCGUUUUAUUUUUUAUUAAUUUUUUAUUUAAAAAUAAAAGACUUUAUUUUUUGUAACUUAUAACUUUUCAUUUUAAAGAAAAUUAAAUCAUACAUAAUUUAAUUUAAAAAAUCAAAUUCAUUUAUUUUGAAUAAAAAAUAUUAAAAAUAUUUUUAUGUGUAAAAAUGUUAAAUUUAGAAAAAAAGUAAUAGUGGAAAAUAAUUUAAUUACGUCACGUAAUUUAGAAUAAUUUUAUAAAAAACAAUUCAAAAUGAAAUUAUUAAAAGUAAAAAGUUUAGAGCUUAUUUUUUUUAAAAAAAAAUUUUAACGUAAUUUAAACACUGAAAAAAGUAUAUGUAAUUUUUCCUACCAAAUGCCGAGAAGACCAUCUUUAAAAGCAAAAGCUGGUGGGCUGCUAAAAGAGCCGUCUUCUCUCUCCUCCGCAGCAGACAACAAAAACAACAAAAGAAAGGUAAAAAAGCACAUGUCGAAUCCCCAUAAUUCUUCCUCUGCUACCAAACGAUUUUUAGGAUCCCCCAAACCUAAAGCUCAUGGACCUGCAAUUCAAUUUCUAGGGUUUUGAGAAGCAAACCCACAAAAUUCUAAACAGAACAGAUAAACACGAGGACUUCGAGAGCUGUGAUCUGUAAUUCCACGCCAUGGAAAUUGAGGUCUCCAGCUCUUCCAAUAUUGUAUCAUCGUCUUCUGUCGAUUUGGAGGUGGAUAAAAAGAAUAAAGCAGAAGAAGACGAUGAUCGGGUUCGCCUCAAGAGGAAGACUUUGAAGGCUGUGCUUGAGCAGUGCCAGAGAGCUCUCGAAUUGCUUAGUAGCUCUGAUGGUGUUGAAGAAGAGGACGAUGAUGAUAACGAUAAUAAUGGGGAGAAGCUGGCUGUUGAGGAUCGGAACGAGGAUGAGGAGCUUAACCGAGAGGGUUCAGUGGUGUCGCCUGGCGAUCGAGAAGCAUAUGAGGUAUAGUUUUAACUAUUUCUAAGAUUUGGUUUUGUUCAAUUGUAGCUAAGAUAAGAGCAAUUUGGGUCUUAAAAUCUCAUUCAUCUGUGUUUUGGCUCUUACGAGUAUGAGAGGACUUUGCUUACUUAGUGAAGCUCACGGUAUAGUUCAUUUUUUCUUUUAUGAUUUUGUUAAUUUUUUGCGGUUUAUGUGGAUAAAUACUUUGGCUAAGCUUGUUCUCAAACAUGGUAGAACAGUUGAGCUCAAUAUUUGAUUAUUUUACUAUUUUCCCUUUUUGUUUUUAACAAAGGAUGUUAGUUGAUUUUUGCAGUUUCUUAUCAGAAAUUAGGACUUAGAAUACUUGAUAAGUAACUGAACUCAUAACACCUUAAAAUGAAGCAAUGGUCUUAUAUAGGUAAAGAAACAAGGGAGUAUUCUUACAGAUGAAUCUUUUAUUCCGUUUAUUAAUUUUGUUGUGCAUGUGUAACUGAACGUGUGAUAAAUUCUGGAUAUGCUGUAGUCAGUUGCUUUUUAUGAUUGAAUCUACUAAAGGUUUUAGACAUGAGAUCUCGGAGAUUUGUACCCGUGAGGUUAAACCUUUCCCCUGUGUUGUUGUACUCCAUUCUAAUUUCAUGCAUCCUAAGGAAGAGGAAUUUGGUUAGCCUGUGGCAUUUUCUUAGUUAAGAUACUGUGUGGUCAGAAGCAUGAUUUCUUGAGCUGGCAUGAUUUUGUUGGGAUACUAGCUGGUUAAAGGUGAACAAUGCAAUUCUUGCUGUCAAUUGAUAAGAAGAAAAUCCUCAAGUUGGGGGUGAUUAACAGACAGUGAAACAUUACAAUACAUCUUUUUUAUGCCUACUACUUCAUCUACAGUCAUGGUGAUGUACAACAGUCAAUGCAAGAUUAAUGAAGAAAAACAUUAUUUCUUAUUAAGAUAAAAGAGUUUCCUUAUUUUACCAAAAUAUUUUUGCAUUCCUUUUUCCUGAUGCAGUUGUGCGACCUUCUCAAAUCUAGAGUUGAAUGCCCUGACUUCCUUGAAAAGCUAGAGUGUGCUCAAGUGUCUGUUCCACAAAAUAUUUCUGGUAUGCACCUGAAGAUGGUGCCUGUUGUAAUUCAUAUUUCAUUCCCGUCUUGAAGUGUAAGAAUUUGAUGCUUGGAUCUAGAAUAUACUUGCUGCUAACAUAGUUAUUAUAUGGUGGCAGAAGAAGGUAGUUCUUGGGACAUGGUGAGUGAAAGUGAUCUUUGGGAAUGUGAAAAUGUUGAUUCUGAUCAAGAAGGUUAUGUUCUUGUUCGGCAAGAAGACAUAGUAGAGGGCAUUGCAUGCUUCAUGGCUGCCUAUUUGUUGUCCCUUAAGCAGACAAAGGUGUGGUGUUUCUUCUCCUUCUUAUAUUUUUGCCAGUUAUUUGAGUAAAUUAUGCUAAUAAUUAUCAUUUUGUAACACAUUGACAGUAGUUUGAAUCAUAUGGUUAAAUUGAUGGAAAACUUUUUGUCCACAAUUAUCAAAGCGUUAAGCUAUGCCCAAAUUUUCCUGAGCUUUUUCCUUAUUUUUUAGUGCUGAAAAAUUUGUGUCUUUUCAACACUAGAGAGCAACUGCUGGUCCUUGCUGUAACCUGGAAUCACGGCACCUGUUAAUUCUUACUAAUAUGGAUUUCCUAUCAGAGUUCCUACUGAAGUUUGACAACAUUGGGUCACUGGGACGUUCUAUCUACUGCUGCUUUUUUAAAGUAUUAUUUUAUAAUGUGUGUAUACAUUUGAGUUUUAUGCUGAUAACUGUUUUCUUGUUGGAUGAUAAAUUGAAGAUUGGUUAUAUUUUAUAUCUUUGUUUUCUUAUGCCACAUUUAGUACCAGUUAUCAUUUGGUCACUGCUGACAUUUAUGUCUGAAUUACUACUAUAUGCCAUUAUGCUAGUGAAUAGACAGUGGUAGUGACACUCUGUAUCAUUGGAGCAUCUAAUACAUGUUACUUGCAUAUUCUUUUUUUCUUCUGCAGGACUUGACCCCUAAUCAACUCCAGGAAGGUUAGUUUAAACUAAAGCUUUUUAAUUAAUCUUCAGUCUUUAUGUUCCAUUAUGUUUUAGGCAACAAGCUCAAUUAUUACCAAUUUGGCUGAAAGAGUUCUGACAUCAUAUGUUAAUUUUUCUUUUAGCCCUUAGCAAAACAUUCUCUGUAAAAAAGAAGAAAGGGAAGCUCCGAAAAGCAUGGGAUGGAAGCAAAGUCAUCUAUAAUGUAGCAUCCUGGGGAGCAACUGCCAUUGGGUAGGUUUUUUGAGUUUCUCCAAUUUAAUAUAGCUAUUCUUUCUUCUCUGCGCUGGUUACACAAAAUACCUUGUCUGCAAUAUCCAGGACCCAGAUCUGUCCCAUUGAUGAAUCUCUCAGUACAUGUUUCAGUAGCUUGUACUAAUAAUUUGUACAUGUUCUUUUGUUAUUCUAUUAGAAGCAUAUUUGAACAAUCUUUCAUACGAGUCAUAAUACUUAUCUCGAUUUUCCUUUUUUUUUUUUUUUCAUCCAACAGGAUAUACCAAAACCCAGUAAUUCUUAGGGCUGCUUCUAAAGCAUUCUGGACUUCUUGUCAUGUUAUAUCAAAGCUUCUCUGAUGCACCUGUCAAUAUUUGGAGAAUGCUCUGGUAUUGGGAUUCACCGAUGUAUAUGUGCUUGCGCUGCCAAUGCAGCUGGGGUUUCUCAUGUUGUAUUCCAUUCUUUCAUGCUACAAAUUGAUUGAUUACUCGGACAUGAUUUGUCUUGUAAAUAUUCUUCUUUUAAGUAUUCCCGAGUGAAAUCGAAAUUUAUUGGUAAAAUUUCAUGUAAAGUUUAACUUGGAAUCUGGUCCUAAGUCAUGCUGCGGCAGAAAAUUUGUGUUACCUGGAUUAGAAGCAAGCGAGAUGUUUGGGUGUAGAAUUUAAUUAGGAAUGCUUGGAAGUAAUGGUCUCUUCAUAUUGCCUGUCUUGUGGGAACUCGUUUAACAUGACUUUAUUUUAUUAUAUUAUUGGGCGGUGAUGGAAAGUUAGAUUUUCCUCGAGGCAUCAGAUUUUCCUCGAGGCAUCUUUUGUCUUGGAUGCCUACAAUUGACGUAACCUUUUUAUAUUGGCUUGCAAAGGAGCGUUGAUUUUUUCAGUCGUGUGAAAUUGCAGAAUGGCUUUUUACGUGGCCCCGUCAUGCAGCUUUAUCGCAAAGAACUCUUUUCAGAUUACAAACUUCGGGACUUGAUUCGUGGUGCUCAGGUUGAUCAAAAAGGUUAUUUUCUAUCGACGAGAGAAUUUCUAAAAAAUUUUCUUUUUUGUUCUGUGGUCCAAGUAUUGAGGUGAAGUAGAUGGGAGAGGUUGGGUUUAACUUUAAACGAAUGGUCAUGAGAAGUCGGUGCGCGAAAACGACUACGAUGAAGGCAAAUGCUGGAAUUGGAAAUCACGUGUAUGGCAUUGACAGGCAAGAGAAUCUCCACGUAAUCAUUUGAAUGCUAGAUUUUAUUUGAUUAAUUUAAGAAUACAAUUAAAAUAGAACUUAAAAUUUAUAUAUUCAUUUCAUUUCAAUGUAAAGACCAAAGGAAUAUGCCUUUAGAUGCUGUGCACAAUGCCACACUUCAUGAAGUGUAGCGAUUGCAAAAAUGUGUAAUAUCAACAUUCAAAUGCUCUAUAUAUUUUAUACCGAGAAAGGAAACAACUAUGAUAGCUUCUGGAAGGAGGGCAGAUUGGUGAAUAUGAGAGCAACCGAGUCGCUUGCUCCCUUUGACAAAACUGUAUGAACCAACUGUUUGCGCGAUAUGCAAAAUGCCAAAUGAGAUUUACUUCGUAGUUUCCCUGCUUGUUGUAAUCACACGUCCUGGUACCCCUAGGAAACCAUUUUCAAUAGUAGUAGCUGCUCUUCUUGUGAUUGGGAGCAUCCUUGCAAAGCAUUGAACGCACUUCCAUUAUCGAUCUAGGUGGCUCAAGAUCUUUCUCUUGUAGUGCAUUCCCAAGCAGCUGCUGCAUCUGUGAUGCAAACGCAUCAUCCAGGACCUGUAUAUGGCAAAAGGAAGAAUUUUCAAGUUCAAUAUAAGAUCUUCACUGCAUGAAAAACAUAAAGUCAUCGUGAUGGAACAAUCCACAUGCCAUCAAAAGUUGGGCACUCUAGCUCCCAAGGUAUUGGUGCAUUUGCAGCUUUGUUAGUUUAAUUGAAAUAAUUAUCUAAAUACUCACAGACACUGCUAUUCGUGAUCCUUUGUACCAGGACCUAUUUUCUUUUCUGUUCUCCAAGAAAUUAAGAACAUCCUGUGACAGGGGAAAAGAAAGAUCUUAAGUUUAAUAAAAUCAAGUCCAUACAUACCAUGAUCUGUAAAAUUUAAAUUGAUCCAUCGUCACUAUGCUCUACCUGCCCCAUGCGGUCCCAAAAGCCUCUACAGAUCGCUACGAAAACAUGAGUCUCAAAAACAGACUGAAGCUGAUUAAUUGUGUUCGUGAGCUGGUCUUUCAGUGGCUGCAUCCUACCUCUUAUAUCAGAUUCUACCACAGAUUCCUUUGCUUCUUGGAGAAUCUUUUUCAAUUUUGUAGUAUUCUGUAACUUGGUCUGCAUGGAACAAAAGAAGCAAAUGAGGGGGCACAUCAAAGCAGUACAUAAGCUAAUUUUUCCCCAAAAAAUGGUCAUCUACACUAAAUAUAGUAAUAUGUCUCUUCACAUUCAUGUGAAACUCUGAUAUUUCGAGUCCUUGAACAUACCGUAGUAGCACCUGAAUAUAAACAGAUGGAUGAGUACAAAACAGGUGAAAUUAAAUUCAGAGAUGGCAUUUGCACAUGAAGCUAACAAGGCAUCAUUUGCAGUUAAAUCUCAUCUACCCACACCCUUGUCUGAAUCACACUCUUCCAAAUUUGAGAAUGUAUUAACAUUCUUGCACAUGUCUGCAAAACUAGCCUUAUUUUUCACUCUCUUUGCACCAUAAUUAUAAAGUACUUUUCAGUGGAAAAUACAAUCCCAAAAUUUUAGCAAAUCUUGUCGUCCUUAUUCCAGAAAUACCCCCAUAUUCUUACAAAUCAUACCACCUCAGCUGUCUCCAGCAACUUCUACCUUUACAUUUUCAUUAACGUGAUCUUUGGACAAAUUCACUCUGUCCAAACCAAAGAUACUGUAUAAAAUAAAUUAACAAAUAAGAGCAUGUCUUGUCCUGAUCUAUUGAUUAAUAAAACUUGAGUUAAAAAAAAAUCAAAAUGAGAACAAAUUUAAAGAGUAUCAUUUUCAUAUUUAUACUCACAUUCUCUGCUAGUUUUUCUACGACAGCUUGCAGAUAACUUCUAAACUUGGCUCUCAGCAUCACAGUCACUUCACUAAGACGCUCUCCAGGAGCAGUGUUUCCACCAUCAGGUAUGCAAGAACCCCAUGACUUGAACUGAAUUUCUAUCUUGGGACGCAGGACAUCAAGCAUCCUCUUCAUGGAAUUCAAUAGAAUCCCAAGCUGAAGAGAACCAACAAAAUGUAAAACCACAAGAAUAUAGCAUUUUUUAGGAAUUCAAACGGUCAAGAAGUUACAGCUCACCUCAUCAGGAACAGUAUAUGAGCAUACAGAUCGUUGUGUAAGCUUCUUGACAUACUUGAAGCCAAAUUUUUUAGGUGUCAAAUUCUCCUUCAAUGGUGCCAGCACAUCUGCAUAUUGUUUGUCCAAAGCUUCCACAAUGGCCUUCUCAACAUCAGCAAUGGCCUUUUUGAUGAUGCACAGCCCAUAUAAAGUGCAGUAAGUAUCAUUAUUUUCAAGAGUUCAUAAAAAUAAAAUCUGAUUAAUUAAUUUAGGAGUCAUGCUCGGGUUUCAAUGAUUAAUUGUGCAAGACAUUUAACACCUACAGUCACUUUUAUCUCAGACACAACAAAAGUUAAAUAAGAAAAUUCAACUCAAGGAAAACGAAUUUGUAUGAGCAUACAUUUUCUAGCACAAAAAUAUAUUCUGGCCAUCGGCAAAUGAUGACUUCAUAAUUUUCUAGAGUCUCUCUGAGACGGUCAUACAUCUCGUCGAUGAAGGGCGUAGUAGAAUGUUGUGUCCUGACUCCUGACCAUUUUACCUGCAAUUCAAUAACUUUUAGAGGAUUUUCCCAAAGCCAGUUAAAUAAAACUGGAACAUAAUCUACUAAACAGAGAGGUUUACAAAUACAAUGUUAAUGAAUUAUAAACUGCAAGAUCUUUCUUAAACUCUAAACCUUCAAACAGAGAUAUAUGGGUUGAACAAUAAGAAGUUAAUUCUAUUGCUAAUAAAUGUACCUUAUCUAGUUUACAUGACUCAAGCAAGGAAAGGCGCUUAUCUUGAAUCCAUAGCAUGAUAUACAAAUGGAACAACUCUUUUGCAUCAACUCCACCUUUAACAGGACUGAGAAAAACAAAACAAAUAGAUUAAUAUAAGAGAGCAGAAGCAAUUUUAAAGAACAAAUCUCAAACAGCUCUAUUUCCCAGAGCUACCUAAUGUUCCAGAUGGCAAGGUCUUUUUGAAAAUCAGCUGUUGCAAUAACGAGUUCUGCUACAGGAGGUGAAGGGCCAGAUGGAGGACAAGCAAGCAGGAAAGCCCGCAAUCUAUUGCAAAGCUCUGUGCUGUAUAUGGAUGAAGAUAAAUUUGGAAGGUCUAUAAAACUGCAGGAUAAGAAAUAUGAACAUCAGAAUCUUUCAUGUCUGGCAUCAGAACAAAGAAUAAUACACCAGGCCAUAAAUCAAGCAAAUACCAACAUAUUAGCAACAAAUUUGGAAAAAAUACACAAAUGAUGAACAAACAAAAUAUAAUAGCAUGAGCUGAAAUAGAGGUUAAAACAACGAAACAUCAUUCAAUUGACAUCUCAAAAUUGCUGUACUAUUGUAGAUAGAUAGUGACUAGUGAAGUAAGUUUGACAGGACAGGUUGUCCUGAUAGCAUAAAUCAAAUGCACGAUUAUGUAGCAAGGGUGCCACUAACAAAAGAGAAAUCCUUUUCUUGCACACUCCAACGAUCAGGAAAUUGAAUUUUCGACGAAAGUCCCUAGCAUAUUAUGCAGCAUAGGAUUGUUUUACCAUUGUAUUUUAUCAGAAACUACUUUGGAAGUCAAGAUCUAGAUGGAUUAUGCUCUUCAAAUUAGUCCCAAUUGGAUAUUACACGUAUACUUUAUGUGUAGCAAGGGUGCCACUAACAAGGAGCAAUGACACCUAUACUUCAUCAGAAAUACAAAAGAGAAAUCCUUAACUUGCACUUUACAACAAUCAGGAAAUCGAAAUUUCGAUGAAAGUUCCUGCCAUCUUAUGGUGUCCAGGAUUGAAUUACCAUUUUUUUUUUACCAUAAACUGCUUUGGAAGUCGAGAUCUAGAUGGUUUAUGUUCUUCAAAUUGGAUAUUACACACCAUCAGAUGCAUGUGGAAGUGCAGGCAUCUUUCGAUUCAAAAGACAUGCAUGAUUCAACUACUUCAAACUAAUCAGAUUUUCAGAGGAGCACUGCUUGCAUGUUAAUAUAGAGGAUUAAAAAAAAAUUGACUCUGUUUUAUAUAGUUAAGGUUUCAAAAAUUUUAAAUAUAGAGGUGAUUUAUGCUAUUUGAUGCUGAACAACAAAACAUGCAAAUUAAGUUAACCAUUUACCAUCCCAUACAUCUGUUUAUCAUGUAUCCACAAUUUAAUCAUAUUUUCUUACAACAGAAUUCAGUUACUUUGUAAAAAAAGCAUUUGGAAGAAAAAAAUAAUAAGAGAUGUGAAGUCUUCAAAAGCAAAUAUCAAGCUUCAAAAAUCAAAAGAUCCAAUUUUUGAGUGAGUUUGCUAUAUGCCAUUUGACAUUAAGAAAAAUAGUCGUACCUAGGAAGUAUAUGUUGGUUGUGGAUUUCAAUGUCCGUAAAAAUUUCAUUUUUAAAAUUCAAACAAAGGCAAGCCAUCUUCUGGUAAGCUGUGGACAUUGCAACAGAAUCCAUCAAAAUAGCUUCAUUGUUGUUGGUGACAAAUUCAUCUGUCUCAGUCAAGUGCCUUCUUGAUCGUUUUUUAGCAGCAGCCUGGAAGAGACACUCUCUUUAAGUGAAAAAAAAGAUACCAAAAACUCAAAGCAAGGUUAUAUAGUGAGAAUUUCAACACUUGUACCUGGAAAUAAUGGGUUAAAUUUGUCUGCGCUUCAGGAGACAAAAUGUCAUGAAGAAGAGUAUAUAGCUUCACAGCAGGUUCCAAUGCAGGUGCGGCAAGUCCAGUUGCUGGCUUGAAAACAUCCAUAACACCCGAUAACGAGGAGUCAUCAAGAGACUUGUAGUUCUCAAAUGCUAGAGCAAGAAUCUGUUCAAUCUGAUCUUUGAUUUCUCCCAAAAGUCGGUUCUAGUGAAAUGGCCAACAAUUAUGCACAUUGAGUUAAAAGGAGAAAUAAGCAGCAAGCAGGAGAACUAUGAAAUAACAUGAAAACAGCUACCCAGAUGAGAAAAAAGAUGGUCAAUGAUUGAACAUCUAAAAAAGCAGCAGUUAAGUAAUGAAGAUUGAUGAAAGAAAAUAGCAAAUGUAUGUAACAUGCAUAAAUUUUAAACUUCUAAAAUUUACCUCUUGAUGACUCAAUGUGCUCUUGCUGUGUCCUUUCAUAAUCACAGGCAUUAAUAAAUCAUAUACCAAGGUGAGGCAGUCAGCUGUGGGCGUAGCAACAUCCAUUAUAUAGGAAAGGUACCUGUCAAUAACACACAUUAGAAGCCACCAUUGCAACAAGAAAAGGACCAAAAAUUAGCAGGUACUGUUAUAAAAAAAUAAAAAAGAAAUAAAAGAGCAUUCAUCUUAAUCCUAUCUUUUCCGUCUCUUUUCAUCCUUUUUCCAUUUUCAAAAUCCUUGUGGAAUAAAUAUCAGAUAAAGUGCAAAAUGGAAUAAAACCAAUUCUAUUCACAUUUGAAUUGAGUUGAUAUACAUCAAACAUAAAUGCAGAAUAAGUUCCAGUACCUCAGCUUGGUAUAGACAUCAGAAACCCCAUAAUAUGAAGCAAAUUCAGUAAGAAGCCAUUUCCAGGAACCAUAGAGCAAUAAAUUCCUUUGCUGAAAAUGUUGAACUUUCAUAGCAGUUUCUAGAACAAGGUCAUAUGCGACUGUUUCAGCUACAGACCCACACUAGGAGAAAAGAAACAAUAACCAAUAUCAUCAAAUUAUUUCAUUAACAAGAAAUCCAUGAUAUGGUAAGAGAAUAAGUUUCCAUGCCCAGUCACUAGUCAACUUGCAUCUGAUUACGUUGAGGGUAUCAUGUAUAUUCAUAAGUGGAGUCAGAAAAAGACCACUUUGAAUGCAUUUAAACCGACCAACUUGUCAUUUAUAGAAUUUUCAUCAAUAAAAAAGUCAAAUAAGGCCACCAAAAUUCUAAACCAGAUAGUUAGUUCCCAAAUUCUAUCAUGAUACAGCCGUUUAAAGCGAACUUUUACAUUAAAAAGAAGACUCUAAAAGGCACAAAGAGGAGGUCACCUUGAGAUUACUGUCAUCUGAACUCGUUGAGUAGUUAAUGUAGAGUUGUAGCUUGCCCACAAGCUCAUGUUCUGGCUCCCGAUAUAUUGACCACCAGCGUAGCUUAUCAACCUGUAUCCAGUUUUGAUAUCAGUCAAAGCCAAAACAACUACCAUCACCAACUGAUUUAUUCAAAGCUUAGAAAAUAUUACAGGGUCAUCAGCAAUAGUUGCAACUUGAGCAAGGACACGGCCAUAACACUUCCCCUUGGAAUCUUGAACUUCAACAAUUAAAUCGUCCCCAAGACUAUCUGGAAAGCUGUAGAGUCAUCAGUAGCUUUCUCAAGCAGAUCUUAUAAUAAUAAAUAACUAAAGCUGAAAAUAUUAUAAAAUAGCACUUACAACACAUGGGUUUCACCAGAUCCAGGCUGCAUCCGGAUGGCAUCUUCUUCUGCUGAACUUUUCAGCCUUAACAAACAAGAGUACGUUUCUGAAGACAUUUGUGAAGAAAAGUGGUUAAAAGGGAUAUUGUGCAAAAUAAGGGUCAGUGAUAAGCUACCAACAGGCUCAGUUGUUUAUGAUAUUAAAGAAUGUAGCUGCUAAAAUUUACCAGUCAAUAUCUGAGUAAGUUUAACAGAAGUUUGCUAUACUAUUGGGAAUUACAAUAUUAGAUGGCUCCUACUGGCAUCAAUAGAUACUUGCUAGGAUAUCUCAUCUGGCCAGGAACAGCCAGCUAAAGUCAAAAUAGUAUCUAAAUGCAAUCUAAUGACCUAAUUGCUGUAGAUAUACAAAGGGCAUGUAAAAUUUCCACCAUAAAGCAUGGAGUUGCAAAUUUGCAUACCUUGCACCACUUCAUAUGAUGAGGAACUGUUCCGUAGACUUGUUACACCAAUUUUUAGAAGUCCAGACACUUGUUUUAUAUACUGAGUGCUGGCAUGCACAUAUGCCAAGCUUUGACGAGAAAAGGAACCAUUUGCAGGUAUCCGAGGUGCAACGCGAAUUUUUCGAAAAGCUUGCCAAGCAGUAGAAAGUGUCGAGUGCAACUUGGAGAAACAAUAUUGGACAGACUUGAGUUUUAGAUUUGGUGCCCUGAGUGUCAGAGAUGACAUACUACAGCCAGUAGGAGGGUCAAGAACGGUUUUCACUUUACGAACUGCAUAGUGGAUGAGAUAUUAGGAUAAAUCAUUACAACUGCUCAAAGGUUAGUAUCAAAGUUGAGAUAAUCUUCACCUUGCACCUUCAUCUUCCCAAUGAUUUUCUUAGGUUUUGGAGCGGCUCCUUCAUUAACAAGUUCAGAAGAGCGCUUUGCCAGUAGUUCCUCCUCUGAUUGCAAUAGAACAUUCUGCACACUGCAGAUCAAGAAAAUGGAAACCAGUGUUGGUGAAAACUGCAAAUGAUAACAAUAAUAGAUGUUCUAAAAUUUACCAUGCAUACUGCAUAAUAGUGUUCGUGGAAAACUUAUCUGAUAACUCAUAAAAAGAACAAGGAAAAGAAAAGAUGACCUCACCUAAAUGACUCCCGCAGCAAAGCGCAUUCAUUUUCUAAGAACAUAGGAGCUUCCAUGCAUCCCCUUGCCCAAGCAUGAAGACAAAGACGCACACAUCCAUCGUAAGCAAUCACAGAAUGCCAUGGCCCUAAUGCACUGAUUUUAUUUAAAAGACAUCAGCACUUUAAAUGGAGAGCAUGACAUUCUUGGCUUUAAUUUCAUCUAAAUUCAUUGUGUUAAUAACAAAUACCUUGCAUGAAAUGUUGGCAGCCGAGCUGGGUUUGAGCCAGAAGGCAUAGCAGCUUCUGCACCAGCAGUUGUUCUGUGAAAAAUGAAGGGUUCAUUGGUUAUAACACUUAAUUUCCACUUCCAUAAAAUGUCUAUAACAUGCCUUCCAAAACAAUAGUAGCAGAAAAUGUCUAUCAAGACAAGCCUCUAGAGAAGUUUUUGCAAACCUUACGAACUGAUCUGGAUUUUUGUUCCCAAUAUUUUCCUUUGCCUCAGCUCCAGAAGUAGGUUUAAUUUCAUUUUUGUCAUCAUUGGUAGAAAAUCCACAUGGAUCUCUGAUGCCUGUGGUCUUAUGCCCUGCAGAUGCUAGUUCAGCACUUUCUUUAAUUUCCUUACCAGAACCACCAAAUGGAGGUGCACUGGGAACAUCAUCAUCAUCAUAAGAAAUUUUCACAUUUUGAUGGUUUCUGGAAUUCAAAUCCUGUACGACAAACUUAGUUCAGGAAAAAAAAAAUUUAACUCAAGAAUAUCAAAUCCUAAAUGAGAAAAACCAAAAUCAAGAAGAUAGUUGUAAUCUUUACACUUCAUUUUAUAAAGCAAGGAAUUAAUAUUUCCAAAAGAUAGUUAUCAAAAGGAAGUUUAGUCCCCAUAGCAUGAUAAAAGAAUCAACGAACACACACACACACAUAUAUAUAAUCAGAUUAGAUGAUUUUAGAUACAUUUUACUAUGACAUAUGAGGGUAAAAUGCUUCUGGCCUCUUAUUUGGCACUAUUCAUAGAGGAGGACCCAUAAAGAGUUCACCAAAAAUUCCAAAAAAAAAAAAUCAAUUGUAUAAUACUAGUAAGUAUAUCCAUAACUAUAUUUGUGUUUUUCCCUCCAAGCAAAACCCUAUUUUUUUCACAUCCAAAGAAUUGUCAUUUUAUAAUGAGGAACAUGUAUAACUGUUAUACUCAGAUUAUUGGUUCAUUCGUUCAGAAGAUCAACCUGCAGAUAUGAAACCAUAAGUUCAAAAAUCGUAUUCAGUAAAAAAUGUGGGAGAAAGUAAGACUACUGGUAAAUAAAGUUCCGCUUUAUCAGUUGAAAGUAAAAAUUGCAAAUAGUACAAAAUUUCAAGCUUUACGGUUCCAGCUAAACAAAUUCCUCUCAAUUGUUAGAUUAUAACUCUUUUUAGCCCAUCAGGCGUGUGUUUCCUUCUGAGAAUUUAAGAUUACUGUUUUUCUCUGUCUUUAAUCAAGACAACACAUCAAUUUUGCAAAAUUAUAAUUCUUGGCAGAUAAAAUUUUGACAUCUGCUGAAGCAUGCAGAUAACAAAUGAAUCCAUGUCACAUAAGAUUAUCAUAUGCUAGGGGAAAUUAGACAUGUACUAAUGACCAAAGGAACAAAAUAUGAGGAACCAUAGGCGACUAGCUCCAACUAUAUUGAUUUUCAUGAUAAAGGUUGUUCACUGUAUGCCAAAAUAUUUAUGCCACUUCUCCCGUAGCUUGAUCAACUUAGAAGUAUGAUAAAUAACAAAACCAAUAUCAAGAAUAGAGUGAUUAAAGGAAUUCCGCAUCAGCAUAAGAGACCAAAUCCUUAUAACUAAGCGCAACCGAUCACGACCAUAUAGCCAAGCAUUUCAAAAUUGCAAAAUACAGUUAAAUUAUUAAAACAAACCUUUUGUGCAUUGCUUUCAACAUUUGCCAGAGAAGGGGCACUCGAAGCAUAUCCCUCAGACAUACGCAGCCUACUCCUAGGCAAAGCACUACUAACACUCCCAGCUUGCGUGGUUGAAAAUUCAGAACUAGCAGCCGAAUCCGACGACUCAUCAUCAUCCUCGGUGUAACCAUUCCUUCCAACCGCAUACCUCCCAUUCCCUCUAACUAACCGCUCCCCCACAUUUCCACCUCUCCCAGCCACCGUCUCCAUUGACGAACUAACAUCGGAGUACCCAUAAUCAGUGGCAUAACGCGUGCCUCUUAGCGCCGCAUUUCCAUAUCUUCCCCCAGUAGCAGCAGAAUUGGUGAUUCUUUCCUCCUGAGGAGAGGAAUCGAGAGAAUACCGUCCUCCAUAAACAUCAUCUUCAUCGGACUCAGUGGUCAUGUCAUUAUCAGAACCGGUGUGGCUGUCACCGACAUCAUCGGGAAUGGUUCUGGAAACCGGAAUUGCAGUUGACGGUAGGUGUCCGCUUCUGAAUUUGGAAGGUGGAGGCAAGCCAAAUCCGCGGCUGCCUCCUCUAACUUUAGUUGUGGGAUCAAUUCUAGGCCUUAAACUGGAAUGAGAGAAAGGAGCUUCCUUCUGGUUCUGAAAACAGAAAAACGAGCAAUGUCAGCAAAUAAAGAGCAACUAAAUCUGAGUAAAGUAAAAUUAGAAAUUGAAUAACUGAAGAAUCUGUGAAUAUUACCUCCCGAACCCAGCGAAGAGCGUUGGAGUCGAGUCCUUCAGUGAACAUUGUGCGCUUCACCUACACAUUUAGAGACGGAGAUCCAAAUCUCAGUUUUAUAAAACAAAAAACACAGAGAUAGAACCGCAAAAAUCUAGUAGAAAACGCAGGUAAACUCACAUAAGAAUCCGAGCUAAGGGUUUCAUUCACUCACAGCUCCAGGAGCUCAAUGAAAGUGCCGCAGUAGAAGAGAGAGAAAGAGUAUAUAGAGAGAGUUCAGAGGAGAUCAACUUAGAGAAGUCGAAAGCGGUGCGAGAUUUGAGGGAGGAGAAAAAGUUUUGCUUCCUUCAAAAGCUUUCGUUGCUGGAUUGGUUCAGCGCAGGCUCAGCUCUGAGAGUGACUGCAAGUGCAAGAGACGCAAAGCUUUGUACUGGCAAAAAUGAGGGCUUUUUUUUUUUGUAUUCUUUUAAUUUUGGUUGGAUUAACAAUCUUUAUUUUUAACAAAUUUUAUAUCACCCACUAAAUAAAUAUUCUGAUGUUUUUUCAUCAUUCAUGGAAGACAUGGGUCACCCACCGUUUGCAAGUAAAAUGAAUACUUAUUUGAAUUUAGGUUACUUUUAAAUUGAGCUAGAAAGGUUUAAAAUUUCUUUAAAAAGAAAAUUUUAAUUUAGUAAAUUAUUUCAAAAAAAAAAAAAUAUAUUAAUGAAAGAUAUUUAUAAUUAAAAUUUUCAAUGUUAAUUUAUUUUGUAAAAUCUUUCAUAAAUAUGAGAGAAUAUAAACAAUUGUAAAACUUUCCCCUGACUGGUAAGUCGGAUUGCUAACAAAAACUCUGUAAACCAAGCCGAUAAUAAAGCACACGUCGUGAAGCAGUAACGGUUGGAAUGACGUGGCAAAGGAAUGAAAAAAAAAACAUUAAACAGUCGAACGUUGUAAGUGGGGACACUUUUGCUCUAUUUUCCCGCUAUGCAUAUAUAUAUAUACGUAUUAAGGAAUCACUCACAUGGUGUGAUGGGUCCCACGAUACCCAUACUUUUUUUGCAGUGUGUGCCGUGUUAGUGUUAGUUCGUCGGUUCAUUGGUUGUGUCGUGUUUGCUGCAGCUAAAAUACCCACAAUGCCCAUUACCAACCGAAUGCUCACCCUAUAAGCUGCUGAAGCUUUGCCUAAAUUUUUUACGCUGGCUUUGAAGACCAGGAUGUAGAAAUUUGAAGUGCGGAUAGAUAGAUUCAAAAAUCCCCCUCAAGAGUUGGUCAAUGGUUGACAUUUUGACACAUGUGAACUUAGAUAACAGAGUAAUUUUAUUAUAGGUAAAGACCCAGCUGUUGUUGGGCCAAUCAUUCCAAUGCAAAUCAUAGGGAAAUACAAGCUUUAAUUUGAAUUUUUUUUUUUUAAAUCUUAUUGGACAUGCUAUCGAUGAAAAGCGAUAUUUUCAAAUCUUGAUGCCAUUUUGGGUACUGCCUUUAGCGGGGCCACCUGAGAUUGGUACGUUAGGUUGCAGAAGAAAUGGCAGUGAAUGAUAUUCCUGUGACAACUCUUGCUCACCUACAAGAUUAGCCAACCUACGGUUUUAAGAAAGAAGGUAGAGAGAGCAGAAAAAUC
rnacentral:lncRNA from 1 species